rnacentral:lncRNA from 1 species
UUUAGAAAUCAAAUUUCAAAUCUUUUCGACAUCAUUUGCCUAAUGAUCAAAGGGUUGGCAAAAUUUGUAAUUUUAAUGGUGAUAAGAGGCGUUUUCUUGUUUAACGCGUAAAGAUAUCCAAAUCAUAUGAAUUUUUGUUAGAAAAUUCUUUAACUAUUUAAACAAGAUAUAUACUCUGAUCUUGAUUACAAAGACUCUCUUAUCAUCAAUUUUUUAAAGAGUAUUCAAUUUUCAGCCAUUCAUUUUUCUGUUCACUUGAUGGAAAAAGAACAAUAUCGAAAGUGCGUGAAAAUUGAUUUCUAUGUAGUUUAAAUGGUUUAGAUCAUAUUAACGGAGCUGAUCGUCAAUUUGGAAGCUCUAUCAUCGAAAACAAGUCGUAGUAAAACGGCUCGUUUACUACCGAUAGUAUUCUAGCUCAACUCCAUAUAUAUUAUAUAUAUAUAAUAUAUAUAUAUAUAUAUAUAUAUUAUUAUAUAUAAUUUAUAUAUAUAUAUAUAUAUAUAUAUAUUGUCACGCCCCAGUUUCAUAGCGAAAGCCCAUAUGCGUCAACAGACCCGGCGAACGGACAGAGUCUUUUCUGUCCGCACAAAGCGACCAACGAGACAGGAGUAGUGACAAAGGAAUCAAAGAGUCAACAUUAACGGUUCUAGAGUCCACAGCUAAACACAAAGUAUCAAAGCGAUAUAUGUAAAACUAAACUAAACAACCAGCACUAUCCAUACAAACAUAGAACCAUAUAGUUCAAAAUAAAAAUAUAUAAGUAAAGACCCUGACCCAACAAGUCCUGAUAUACAAUAUACAAACUCAAAACGAACUAGGUGGUAGUCCUCUAUAUACACGGAUUGGAGAUGCUAUCUAUUACGUUGUUCUCUUCUCUCGAUGAUCCGUUGAUAUAGCUGUAUCUAAAAAGUAAACAAUAAGAGAGCGUGAGAAUUACUAAACAGCAGUUCCCAGUAGGUACGGUCGGUGACAACCACGACCUUCCAACUAGGUCUACUAGAGGCACGAAUAGAAAAAAAAAAAGAAAAAAAAGAAAAAAAAGAAAAAAAAAGUAUAGUAUACAAUCAAAUGAGCUAAUGAGUUUGAUAAGGAUAAAUAUAUAUUUACUAACUUCUAUAUAUGUAUACAAUUUAUCAUGCUUCUAUGCAACUAGUCUAUCAUAUCUCUAUGCAUGGAAUAUGCGAUAAUGAAGCUGUCUGAUAUAUGCAUCAACUCUAAUAUUGAUAAAUAGAAACGGUACACCACACAAAGUAAAUAACCAUGCCAUGUAUCAACUAGGGUACUAAUACUCAAUGUAAGGUAUCACUCACUCAUACACAUGCAACUCAAUCAACACACUAUGACCCAAUCAUAAACAGACUAACUUGUAGGUCACAUAUGUAAGGAAUAGGUGACAAAGUGACUAGAAUAUGCAUCAAACCUAAAUUAAAACAAAAAUAUAAAUGCAUCACAUACACAAAUCAAUACAUAUUUGGGACCACAAAGCAUUUUGUUUUAGAAAAUAUCAAACCAACCUUCAAAACAACUAAAACAAGAAUAAAAUAAUGCAAAACUACAAACCCCAAAGGAAUUGCCUGAACUACAGGAACAUUAGGAACGACAUGGAUUAAAUUAACAUUUCAACUCAAAAGUAUAACUAUACCUCAGAAGAGUAAGAGGGUCUCUCGUUCAAGCACGAUCACUCUCUCAAGGUCGAUUCUUCGCCUUUCUCCUUGGUUCGCAACGCAAGUGCUCGCCUUUUGCCUUCGCCUAGGUUUCGAAUCGGCUCGUCCUCCGAAAGGGAUUGAACCCUAGAUUUCUCCAACAAAGAAACGAAUGAUAAUUAGCUUUCUUUCUCUUCCUCUGCCAUGUUAAAAGUAAGGGCAUUAUUGUCAUUUCAUGCUUUCUGUUAAUGGCGUAGUCCCCUGUGGACAAUUCUGUAAUUAGGAGAGGGCAAAGUGUAGGUUUUUAAAUGUCAUAGGGGAAAAGUGAAAAAGCGGAUUUUUAUAGGGGGUUUUCUGUAAUUUAGCCAAAAGGAAAACAUACAUACCAAAUCAUUUCAUAGGGUUUCCAGAGAGAAGCCUUAAAUGGUUUAGAGUUGAAGGACAAUGAUGCCUUCAAAGAUGAAGUAAUCUCAGAGAAUCAUUUAUCAGACGUGUAUAAACGGCGCUAUUACAAACAGCAGAACUUAACAGCAUAGCAGGGUAUUAGCAUAUGAUACUCCAAAAAGAAAACUGAGUUUAAAAAUUAAGCAACAAAAAAAAAAAUUAAGCAGUGCUAGGAGCAGCAGUAGUCUCGGCAAACUUCUGCAUUAUGCUUAGCAUUUAAGAAAAUUCAAUUUAAACUAAGGCAUAUUAUUCUUACACCAAGGAUAACAUGUUGUAUAUGGCUAGAUAAUCAAACAAAGUUAUAUUGUUAUAAUCUAGCAUAACGGGAGUCAAUGCAUAAAUGACAAAUAGAUAAGAAGGUGCACUUCAUCAAGAAGUAUUACUUAGAUGGAGAUAACAAAUCAUGUCAUAACAUUGUCGUUUUCUUGUUCUGGAAUGGGCCUUUCCAAUUCUUUUAGAUUCACGCUCUACACUGAGAAUGAUUGUCUGAACUCUGAAUACCAUAAAUAUAGGGAAGGUGGACUCACUACUACGUUCUUCUUACUUCUUAUGAUGUUUUUUUUGGCUUUUAGAUGAUUCCGUACCAUGCCUUUCCCAAUACUAGUUAGUUAUUCACCAUAAUAUUCCAUAGGUUGGCAAUCCAGUAUCACUAAAAUAGCAACAGUAAGUACAAGAACAAUUUAUUGAACAAAGGUAUUCUUGCUAUUAAAUUUAGCAGUGAAUAUUUAUUAAUAAAAACAUUUUCAUUGAAAUGUUAAAGAUGAAGAGAAAAUACCCAAACAAAAAGGAGCAUAAAGGACCUACCAGUCUACCACAUCACCGAUAUUAAUCUGGAGAUUGGAUAUAAAAUAAUCUCUAUCAAGCUCUUCAUGAAUUCCAUAUGCAAUUAACAGCUUGGGAGCUCCUUCAGACUAUAUAGUAUCAUGGGGCAAUUUGGCAGCAAGAUUCAAAACACCCCAUUUAGAACAAACAAAAUCAACUAACGGAAAAUUCACAAGAAAUUCAAGCGUAUUGCACACUAAGAACUCCUCCAGAAUAUUUGGAGCGGGCCGGUCUUUUAGUUUCAACAUCAGUGGUCUACUAUCCACAAGUAUACGCCCAUCGGAAUAUCCUUUUAUGAAUUUAUUCAUUUCAAUAUCAACCUGUAAGAUUUUAAAAUCACCAUUAACAAAUUAAUUUCAGCAACCACAAAAUGAUCUAAAAUUUUUUUUUGAAAGAGAUCAAAGAAGAGAUUAAGGGGACUUUUGCUUUUGUUUCAUAGGACCAUUUAGCUAUACAUCCUUCAUUAAAUGUAAUUGGUCGUCUAUCGUAAUUUUCCUUGUAUCCUAUAAAGAUAUAGAGUUUCAACAGAACAUUUUUCACUAAAUGUAACUGUCCUUUUACUUGCAUACCUUCCCUAUAUGCUACAAUGAUAAAAAGCUUCAUCGGAAACAUACGUAAGUUGCACUGCCAAAUAGUUUUCUAUGCAAAAAAAAGAACCAGAAGUUGAGAAUAAUUAAUAAGCAACAUUGCUGGCAGUGUUUGAAAAUGUAAAAAGAUUGCCAAGGAGGAACGCCUUAAGGUAUGACGAUAUUCUGGGUGGUGAGGGGCGUGGAGCAUUCCACAUUCACAUAUGUGAGCUUUUUUCAACCCCGUAAAAUGUAUCUAUUUUUUUGUAUAGCACUCUCAAGCUGAAGUUUUUGCAGACUAAUAUGGCAUCCUUGCACAGAUGCCCAUCCACGAUUGUCCAUAUAAAACAGUAAAUUUUAAUUUAAAAGAGCAAAAUGACCAUUAUAACCGUAAUAAUUUAUAUAAAUGCCCCCAAAAUCUAGGUAGGCACCGUGGCACCAAUAAUGGCAUCUUGACAAGGCCAUAUAGUCUAACUCAUGACCAGGGCUAUAGUUGGGAUUUAACUUCAGUCAAACAAAAAAAUUUUUAUGCCAUUGUGCAAAGGAACACAUGAGAAAACACGCUAUUUAAAAGGGCAUUUAGUGAAAUACACACUUGUGAGGGGUAUACAAAAUGCACUUUUUUAGGGAUAAAUAUAUGCAAAACCUUCAGCUUCCACACUGAUACCCAAAAUGUUUACUCCAACAAAUAUGUAUUAAGUUGGGUCAUUUGCGCAGCUUGAUCAACAACAUAAAUGAGAAAACAGCCUGUCAGCUAGACAGCAUCAACUUGGUAAGAAAGAUGGAAUGAUGGAUACAAAGUAAUGAAAUACCAAAAUAUUAGCAUGCCACUUCUUAACAAUUAAGAUACAUGCGAACAAGCACAGAAGGAAAACUAGACAAGACCAUCCAAUGAUGGAACCAGAUAAGAAAUAUUUAUUAAGCUCUACGUAUUAUUAUAUGCAAGACUAUUAGAAGAGCUCUAGCGCAUUAUGUGGUACAAGUAACCUACAAAAAAAAAAAGAAAAAAAAAAGAACUUCUAGUCAAGACAAUGAAUUAUCAACUUAAGGAAUUCAAGAAAAAAAUUAAUAAAAUGUAUGGUCCAAUCCUUGUUCUCACCUCUGAUUGGUUCAAGCAAUCCACAACCUUGACAAUCAAAUCAUGGUUGAUCUUUUCAUCUGUUGUCUCCUGGAUUCCCCUCCAAAUACUUAAUGGAUCCCAGCUUGAUGCCAACGAACGCUCAAAUGCAUGUCUAAUAAUAACCGGCUCGCCUUUGAUCCAAUGUGCUUGUGAAAAUGACUAAUGACUUCAUGCUUUACAUCAUAUAACAUUGGGCGGUACAAGGAGUUGUCGCUGCUUCCUUCUCUGUUAGAGCACCGGAAAAGACUAAAUCACUCGAGUCUUUUGACUCCAAAUUCCUAACACCUUUGCAAGAAGAACACCUAUCAGAAUAGUCCAAAUCACGUACUUUACAUCCCUUAACCAUUUCCUCAGUAUUUUUAACAAGUUUACCAAUCCAGUUGACUUUAAGUAUGCGUCUUAAAACCAAUUAUGAGGAGCCACAACCACCAGCAUCCGCUCCCCAAGGAAUGCUACCAUCAUUCUUGGCCUUCCAUGCAGGAAAUAGAUGAGCAAAAUCAAUUGUAUUUUCAUCUGCUAUCCAAGAUAGCGACUUAUUGUUGGUUCUUUUAGCAUGUUGUUCUACCCUAGUUAUUACAGUAUCAAUAUCUUUACUUCUCUCCGGAACCUGAAGUUCAAUGAACCCCCCUUCCAGACUGAUCAAGGAUCCUCGUCGAAUAUCCCAGCAACAGGUCAAGCAUAAAUCAUAUAAACAUUUUGUACAGUUCGAUGAUAAUCAAAAACAGGGAUUUUGCAGAAAUCACAGCAGGAAAGAAUAUUUCAAUGAACACAGAACCCCUCAAAUAAUGAAAGAAAAGUAACUACUAGCAAAAUGUAUUCAUGCUUUUACCACUAAUAUUGCUAGGAAAUAAAAGUAGAGAUUAUUGCUGAACAAUACCAGCACAUCUGCUCAUCUGCAUUUACUUUUGCCCUGGGAAUAUCAACUUUCGGUCCUAAAAUAAAGCAUACAAUCAAUAAUGGAAGCAAAUUAAACAUAAAAGGUUACAAUAACAGUGAAAAAUUGCCAAAAAGCAAUUGGGACCCUAAAAUACCAUUAAUUCUUGUUUCCAUUCCUAUUUCAGAGCACUGCUCAACAUAGGUUUGGGCUGUGAUUCUGUGAAGAUAUCUUAACUUGUCUAUGUCAGGAAUCUCCUGUACCUUGGGCUGAAUAGAAAAUUACAGUUCGAUAAUUAAUUAAAAAGAUGUUUAAAAAUAAGAUUGUGAGGAAGCCAAAUGAGAAACAGUGGCAUAUCUAAUCUACAAAUGAAGAGUGUGAAGCACCUUAAUCAAAUUAUCUCCUCUUAAGCAGAUUCUGCAGUUGCAAAUACCACGGCAUGCCGGACAAACCUUCCGUAUUUCCUCUAGUGGAAUCUCAGCAGACCUAUUAUGUAAGUCCCAACAGGAGACAUAAUAGAAAACGAAUAUUGGAGGUCAAUGUAACUUAUCACUAACAUGGAAGUCAUAACUAGCGAAGAAGAACACAACAAUGUAUAGCAUCAACCAUAUGAUUAAUUGAAAGAUCUAUAUUACUUGAAAAACAAAAACAACAGAAAAAUUUGUUAUCCGUCAGGCAUGGCAACAGGUCCACAAAGAUAACUCCAGCAUAGAAAUUACAAAUGGUAAUAGCCUAUCUGCAGGUUGAAAUACUGUGUCAAUAGCGCACUUUUGUGUGUGACGAUUAGGAUAACUAAGAAGAAUUUUGAUGCAAAUCCUUUCCAAUCAAAAUCUCAGGAAUACAGGUAUCAACUGAUACAUCCCAACUCAAGAUACUCAAGUAGGGAUGUCACAUCAUACUUCUUGGGAAGAUUAGCAACUAUUCUCGUCUUCUAUACUAUUCCAAGGGUGCACACCAGAGUUAACUCCUUUUAUAAGCUUGUUCUUACUCCUUUCAGAAAGGAGAAUUAACUCCUAGCAUAUAGGGUUAAUAAGGAAGAGAUUUGAGGGAACUAGAAGCAAAAAGGCUCUUAUCAUCAUUUCCAUUAUUAUGGAAGUCAUUAAUUUCACUCACGAAUCACUCUUUUUGGUGCCAAAAGCUUAAAAAAUUCAAAGGGACGGUUCAGAGCUGAAGAUCGACAUUGUUUGAUAUGAUCAAGAGUAUGUAAAGUUAAAAUCAUAAACCUCAGUGCAAUGUUAAGUACCAUCUUGAAAUGCAAACGCCACAGUAUCCCCUACGCUCGCAGCUAAUACAUACACAAUACCACCCUGUCACUCCUCCGGCACUGAUGGUAAAUUAACCCCUUGACUGCGCCAUAAGAAUCAGCACUUCUCCCAAAAUACUCCUAUCACAUAAUCAUCAAUAGUGUAACUUCUUGAGUAGAAAUUUAACAUUUCUAGUUAAACAGGAAGUGCUAUGAUAAAACGCAACAAAACUCACCCUGUGUUUCCAGAUUUCUGUAGAUGGCAAGUGUGUUACGACAUCACUCUAUAUGAAAAGUAUAAGGGUUGCAAAAUACAAAAGAAGGGACGAUGUCAUUCUAUAUUAAAUCCUUGCAGUACUAGAUAACGAAAUAAAAGGCUCUAGGAUCAUUCUCAUUAAUGAAAGAAUGUAAGGUAGGCUUAUACUACAAUUUACAGUGAAACUUUUAGGUAGGCGAAUAAAAAGGAGUUGAAAAAAAAUGUACUGAGAUGACUACUAUACGUACUUUGGUUCAUUUGCCUGAUAAUUGUUUUAGGUAUUUCUCAUGGAUAUCAUGAAAGUGUAUCAAACUAGCAAGUUUUUCAUUAUAUUCAGUUAGGAUUAAAUGGAAAUAACGACAAUAUGUAGAGAGAAUAGAAAAAGGCGAAAGAUUACUCUUAGUCGACAGAGAAGCAAAGAUGAACUGGAAAUUUCUGAAAACAUGAAUUGUGAUAUUCAUGAAGUAUCACCAAACUUUGGUGAAACAGGCAGAAGAAACAACAAUUUUAAAUUUCCUAGGUGCAAGUAGAAACAAAUAACACAGUUGAUUAACUGAAUAGGGGGGAAACACACACAACAUUCCCCCCACGGUCCCACCCAACAACACACACAAAAAAAAGAAAAAAAAAAAAAAAAGAAAAAGAAGGAAGAGCAUAGACAUGUUAGUUUGCAAACUAAUGUCACAAACAAAGGCAACAAGAAAACCAAAUGACCUCUUAAUGACAUUAGUUCUGACGCCUACAGCUUCGCUGACAGAGAGAGAAAGCAAAAAGGACUGUCAUAUCUGAUUUCAAAAUGAAUGACACACAAGCGUAUAUACUCUAAAAUUAUUGCGUAUUACAAGCCACCUCGCAAAUAUUUAAGAAUGGUUACCCAUCAACUUUUGUCAAAAACGGAAUUACACUCUUUCAGAUAGAUCCCUGAACCUCUUUACAUUGCUACGCCAUGCGAUCAUUAGAAAAAGAUUAGAGGGGGAAGCUUGCAUCAUCCAAAUUCAGCUAUACCAGUCAAGGAACAGGAUGGAGAAAGUAAGGACGACAAAGAAAAGCAAAAGAAAAGUUCUGCUGCUGCUAUUGCGCUUGAUUGCCUGCGAUAGCUCCUUGUUUCCUAGAACGACAUUGUUCGUAGCUUCAACAGCCUGAGAAAAUGCGUCAAAAGGAUCAGAAAUGAAAACAAACAAGGAGUGCACAUACAGGACUUACUAUUUUAGUUACAAGAAUAAACAAACAUCAGACAGCAACAAGUUAGCAUAGUUCAAUUCUAAUUUGAGUUUACUACCUUCUUCACCCAGUGUUCUUUAACCAAUGCUUCAGUUGGGAUGGUUUUAACUAAAAAGUAUUGGAUCUUUCUUUUGCCCACCGCCCCUUGGCUUGAGAUCGAGUUGGCCUACUUUGUCUUUUUCAAGAUAUUUGUGGAUCAGGUUCCCUUCAGCUGGCUUUAUUCUUAAUAGAGGAUCCGGAUCCAUUACUGUUGUAGAAAGAAUUUCUAAUAUGCAUUCAUGUAUAUUACAUGUUUACUAAGGCGAGCUACAAUUUUCCCAAUCCUUUUCUGCCAUAGAGUAGACUUAAAUGUGGAAAUUAGCAACAGAAAGAAAAACACAACAAAGAAAUAAAUUUAAAAAAUUCUUCCUCAGGUAGUUCAUGAGAUUCUCCUCUGAGAUUCCCAAGAGGAUAAACCAACAAUAUGGGCUUUCUCUUCAUGAAUUCUAUAUUGUGCAUGACCCCCAGACAUUUUUGAGACAUCAAGCAAGUGACAGCGACCCAUGAAAAACUUGAUUCUGCAUCAAUAUCUCAGAUAUUACUUUGGCUUAAAAACUCGCUUAAGUGCAGGAACCUAAACCCUAUUCAGUAUUUCCCGAACAAUAUGCGUAACAUCGCUGUGAAGAAAAAGAUUAUCCACCAGAAUAGGUGCUUGCAGGUUAAUUCAAUAAAUUUUCAAGAUCAAAUAAUUAAUCUAAUUCCCAUGGUAAUAGACAGAAAAUCAUCUUCAGUCAAGGAAGACCCCAUCUUUUAAUGGUGAAUCAACCAUGCAAAUCCAACUUUUUCCAGCAAGUAAUUUCCAAUCUCAACAGGGCAAGCCAUCUGACGAAUGUAAAGUAAUAGUUUCCUAACCUGCUCAUACAAAUGCUCAAUCUGUUGAGCUUGUUGAAGGACAUGUGUUGACAUGAGAUGAUUCAGAGCUGACAUUUCCACCAUCUUAGUUUCUGUUUCUUGUACAGCAUCGAGGAGGUUCGUCAACUCUACCUGUCAAAGUCCACAAUGAAACAAUUUAUCUUGUGCAAAAGAUUACAUGUUGAAAAAAAGGACCAAGAUGCUGCAAAAAUAGAAUCCUUCAACCGUAUAGAGACUAGAGACCUGAAGAGCUCGUGUUUCAUCAUCGAGAAGUUGCUCCUGGACUCUUAUGGUUCCUGAAGAUAACUCUUGCUCUCCAAGCUUAGGAAGAUCAGAUUUAGAGGCUUCAGAUUUUGGCUGAGGCAAUCUAUGUACCUUUCUUCUUGGCAUUACUCUAUUCAUAGCAUCUUGAAACCGUACAGAUCUGAGUUGAUCAAAUUGUGCAGUGACUGAAUGGAGCUUCUCGCUCAGAAUUAAAACCUACAAAAGGGCAAUGAAUUAGAUUUAUAUGGCAUCACACAUAGGGUACCACAAAAUUCUUCAGAUCAUCAAGAAAACAGUACGGCGGGUACCAAGUUUAACCAUCUUUCAUUUUUUCAAACUGUGUAAGUAGAAAAGUCGUAUGUGGCAUCUACACAUCAAAUAAGGAAUUGAAAUUUUCGCAUAUUGCCUAACACUCCAAGCAUCAACGAAGAAGAACUGGUAAAAAUGCUAAUUAGAAAUACGCCAGCAAUGCAUCUAUUACAGACAUAUAUGAUCAACAGCAAUAAAGAUUCCAUUAAGAGAUUUCGAUUGAUUCAUAGCAUAGCAAGAAACGAGAAACAUCAUAUAUCCACUGCAAUUGCUAAAUAGAGAGGUGGGAAAGCAAAUCUAGAAAAAGGUGCAAGGAAAAAUAUUCUUACCACACCAUGCUUAUGAGCCACCAUAUCAGCAUGAGAAGCAUCAUCCCGAAAUUGAAGCCACGUCCUUCCGCUUCCCUCCGUUUCUUCGUCAUGGAUUCUAUUCUUGAGAAUAUCGAUCUGAUCCUUGCACACUUUCACGAAAACAGCAACCUGGAAACAUUAUACAUAAUUAGAAACAGAGGUGACUCACGGUCAACAAGAAGAUCUCUCCAUUAGGCCUUUCCUUAGAAAUUAUCUGUCCUCAUCAUAAUAGAACACACAAAUAAAUACGUGCAAAGUGAAGCUAUCAAUAUGACAAUAUAUAGGCAUGCUCAUUUUGAUCACGGUAGAAAAUGUUCGUUAAAAAAAAAUAAAGAAAAAAAGAAGAAGAAAGAACUAAUGGCUGCUGAUGAAAAAUAAUCGGCACGAGCAACAAACUAGUGAGUACAACUUGUAGCCAGCCAAAUGCUUCUUUCCUAUCUUACAUGAAACCUUUGUAAUAUAAUAGCAGACUUGAAAGAUAUAUUUCGCCUUCGAAUGAUAUCUAGCCAACAGCUAGUUAACGCAGUAAUAACAAGUAAAGUGCUUUUCCUUCAGAUGCUCAAAUAGGGCAUUUGAGAAGAGAUCCAAACUGAAGGCCACAAACUUCGUAGAAAAUCUUUGAGGAAAACGACUUCAUAUAUUCUAACACAGGGCAAGCACACGUAUGAAUUUCACUAAAACAUCAACAAUUCGAAAUCGUCAAACUGGUUAACUAACAAUUAUUCCCGUAAAUCAAGACAAACACAGGAUUCCUGAAGUAUUGACUGUUCGUCAGCUCUUCAAACAGAAAAAAAAUAUAUGGAAUUAACAAAGCAACAUUGCUCAUCGUACAUUCGCAAAAAUUAGAUGAUAUUACUUCUCAAAGGAAAGUGAGGGAUAAGUAGACUUAUUCCUUGAACUAACAGUAGUUUCUCAUAAAGUAAAUCUGUAACUUCCCGUAACUAAAAGAGAACAAGAUGCACGCACGAUCUACUAAUUCGUUAGACAAAAAAAAAUAAGGGAGAUAUUCUUCUGAAAAGUAAAAACUACAUUUUCACACUAGAAGGAAGGGUACUAAUAGAUCUCGCGCUACUGGAGUGUACAACUCACUUCAUGCUCAAUAUUGUCCCUUUCUUGCUCAGUGGUUCGAUGCAAAUCCACAUAAUCUUUCCGAUGCUUCACAAUAAAACGCUCCAAUUCCUUAAUGCUUUCGAGCUGAGAAAGAGAAAGAAACAAUUAUCAUCCUCAAAAGACCACAAUUAGUUCCCCAAACCUACUAAGGAAUUUGUAAUGAAACCGAAAGAGCCAAAAAGUGUUGGAUGAUACCGUCUUCAGGGCAGCUUUCAUGAACGCCGACUGCCGAGGUGCCUUGUGCAUGAUGAAAGACGCCAUUAACGCAGCCAAUUGAGACUGCAAAAUUGUUUCAUAUAUUUUGACGAUCAGUAUAGCUCUAAUAAAUCGAGUAAAAUCAAUUCAAAAUUGUUUUCUAUCGAGAUUCAUCAGGAAACUGUGGAGGAGGACCAACUUAAAAUUAGUAACUAUUGACAACAAAAAAAAAGGAAAAAAAUUAGAGCGUGAAAUUGAGAAGUUUGAAGCUCUGAAAAUAAUGACCGACCUCAGUGUAGCCAUGGGAGAGAGCUGCAACACGAACAGCAUCCCUAAAAUCUUCAGUUCGGUCCCUAACUUUCGACAUUGCUAGAAAUUUUUAGGGCUAAUUAGCCCUCUUUUUUUUUUUCCUUUUUUUUGUGUUUUUCCCCUCCCUUCUCAAUACCACAACGAUGAUCUCUCGUGUACAAUGAGCGGGCAAUGUAGAUUUCGGCGUUGUUUGGGAACGAAGGCGACCAAGGCGCUGCUCUUACCGCGGCGAUGGCGAUGCCGGCGACGGCCCGGGAAGGGAUGGGAGCAGCGGAGGAUCCUAGGCCUCGACAGUGGAACGGUAGAGAAGUGGCGUGGUGCGUUUAGGUCCGGCCCAGUAAUGAUAAAUGUAUCAGUAGCACGGGAUUAGAUCCCGACCAGACCCAAGCUUCGUUUGGUUCGAGUAUAAGUAAGAACUGCUUAUUCCAGGAAUAGAUAUAAGUUUAGGUAUAAGCAUAAUUAGUUAAUUCGGAUUCGACAAAUAUUUGGUACGGGUAUAAUAUGAAUAAAAUUCAUAUCCUAAUUUUAAAAUUCGUUGAAAAAUACGGCUAAAAAAUAGAUUCGCCAAUUAUUCAGAUACGUGACUUAUAAAGAUAUUAUAUGUUCACCAAUUAAAAAUUCGGGAUCAAAAAUUCAGCUAUUAAAUUAAGUUUUUUCUCACUAGAUUUAUGCUAUUGGCAUAAAUACUCAUAAUUCUUAACAAUAUAAAAAUAAAGAGCUACAAAAUUAAGCAGAUUAAGUAAAAUAAUAAUAGUAAACUAUGUUAUUCCCCACAAUAUGUAAAUAAUCAAGCAAGUAAGAGAUUAAGAUAGUCCAUAUUUAAAUAUAAAACAAUACAAGGUUCACAUACAAGCAUAGUUGGAAAUUAAAUAAAAGAUAAAGCUUGCACUCUGCGUAGUGCAUACUAACAUAUCUAAAAUCUAAACAGUAAACAAAUGAAAGAUAAUUAACCCCACUCCACUGGUUCUGAGUCUUCAGACAACAGGGAACAAAUUAAUGGAUGGAAGUAUGAAACAACAACUCAAUUAGGACUAAUAUGGAAAUCUGAAGUUUAGAGGAAGAGAAGGAUGUUUUUGGGUGAAAGAAAAACACAACAGCAACAAUAUCAACUAUAUAUAUAAGCGAAAACUGUUAUAAAUAGAAAUCAAAAUUAACCAGGGAGCAAAAAAACAAUAUUGCUAGGAUUCUAAAAAUUUGGCAUUUAGCAUGCAGAUAAUAGCAAAUAUUAACUCCACACAUAGUCAUGGAAAAUAUGAAUUUGUAGUUUGGUACCAGAUGAAGUGGGCGUGCGGCAGCGGAACAGCGGAACUCGGAAGCAGACUGGGAGUGGUGCCCGGCCACGCGGGGGUUUCCGAUGGCCAGCGGCGCGCGGCCGGGGUGGUUCCAAACUUCCGAUGGUCAGAACUUGAAGGAUUGAUUCUUUCUUUCCUGUAAGGCUUUCAGCGCUCGGCCUCGCGGGGGUUCCGGUGGCGAGCGGCGCGCGGCCGGGGUGGUUCCAAACUUCCGAUGGUCAGAACUUGAAGGAUUGAUUCUUUCUUUCCUGUAAGGCUUUCAGCGCUCGGCCUCGCGGGGGUUCCGGUGGCGAGCGGCGCGCGGCCGGGGUGGUUCCGAACUUCCGAUGCUCGGCCUCGCGGGGCGUUCCGAUGGCGAGCGGUGCGCGGCCCGGGGCGAGGAGGGUUCUAAAGAACCCGAUCUUCGAUGUCGAGCGGUGUGGACUUCCGAUGGCGAUCGGCGAGCGGCCGGAAGGAAAUGGGGGAGGAGGGAUGGGGCGGAGGCAGGGGCGAGAAGCUAGGGUAAAAUGUUUUUUUUGAGCGAACGGUUUUUUUCUGUUCUUUUUCUUUUCUUUUUCUUUUUCCGUUUUGAGCGACCGUGCGUGCGUGCGUGCGUGCGGAGGAACACUCCGGGUGUCGACGAGCCGAACACCAGCGGCUCGCUAAAGUAUCGACCCCAAAAAUUGAACACCAACUGACCAACCAAUAAUAAAUUAAAUAAAUUAAAUUAAAUAUAUAUAAAAAAUAAAUUUAUAAGAUUUAUUCAUUAAAUUUUGAUCUAAUAGUUGAAACUUUAUAUAUAAAUAAAUUUUUUUAUAAUUAAAUUCGCUUUAUACUUUUUUCCUAAAAUAAAAUAAUAAAAAUAUAUAAAUUAUAUAUAAUUAUUUAUUUAUAUAUAUAAAUAUAAAAUAUAUAUAUUCGAGCUGUUAUCGAGCUGAAUACGAGUGAGCUGACCCCAGCUCGUGUUCGGCUCAUUUAUUAAACGAGUUGAAAAAUUCAGCUCAUGUUCGGCUCGUUUACUAAACAAACGAUUCAAUCUCGAGCUCAUUUCAAGCUGAAUUGGCUCGCGAACAUCAAACUGAAUUGCCACCCCUACUCCAAAAUAAGCCCUUCUUGAGCGAACUAACGAAAAUACCGCGAGCUACGGUGGAUCGAUUUUAUAGAAAUAAAUAAAAUUAAAAAAAAAACAAUAGCUGUUAUAAUAAAAAAUAAAAAUAUUAAAAGAAUAAAAAAUAUAAGAAUAAUAAAUUAUAUUUAUAAUAGCAAUAAAAGUUGUGAAUUAAAAUGUCAUAUGCCUCAUACUUCGAGCUAAAAAUUAUAACUAAUUAAAGUACGAGGUUGAAAGCAUCACAUACCUUAUAAUUUGAGCAAGAAAAUAUAACCUAUUAAAUUCGAGAACCAAAAUGUCAUGCAUCUUAUAAUUUUAGGAUCAAAAGUGUAAUUUGUUCCUUUUAUAUUUAAUUUUAUUUCAAAUGAAGACAGGGUGUCACGCUCCGGAUUGAUCGUUUUUCCGGGCACGCCGACAAAUCCGUCGUAUACAAAGAAAUUUUUUCUGUAUACGAAGCGAUAGCUGUGCCUAUACCUGUUAUCAUACAAAACUACAAUAAGUAGUAUAAAGCUGCUAAACAGAAAACAUAUAUAAAUAACAUAGGUUCAACAUACAUACUUAGUAUGCUUGUAGUAUACUAGUAUCCCUACACUUAGUAUAUAUAUAUAAGUGUGUGUGUGAGGGUACGUGUGUGUGUGUGUGUGAGUGCACAUGUGUGAGUAUGUGUAAUGCCAUGUGGCAUCACCUCCCCCCCUCUUUUAUGCAUGCAGGGAAGAGAGAGAGNCCUUCUGUAGACUUAGUGGGUGACCGAUGUCGUUUUGGGCGGUACCCACUGAGGACUACUUGUUUUUACAGUAGUUCUCACGCCCAGUUGUUACCUAUGUUUUGCAGAGCCACAGGUUUCGGCUACUGCGCCUUCCGCGGAUCAGGAUCGAGGCAAGGGCGUCGCGAGGUAGAGCCCUACCCGACUGACAGAGCUAGAGGCACCCCCCUACUGCAGGUAGUUGCUAUUUUAGAGUUUAUGUACAUAGUUGUUUAACUCGCCGGUGCGAGUAGCUUUGUAUUUUGGAUUUGGACUAUGUAUAUGAAACUCAGUUGUUUAGCUUUGUAUAUUGAGCAGCUCUAUGCUACUGUUUGUAGUAUUGUAUAUUUACAGGUACUUUUGACGCUUCGUAUACAGGGAAAAUUCCUUGUAUACGGCGGAUUUGUCGGCGUGCCCGGGGAACGAGACAUCCGGGGCGUGACAAUGCUGAUACAAAAACACUCGCUCCAACGAAGUAUUAACAUUAGUAUGUAUAAGAACCCAAAAACUAUCACUACCUGUAGCUUGUAUGUCUCUAGAUCAGCAGCAACACUGUAAGGGAUCUAACUCGCGACUCCCUUUCCACGAUCUGUAUCCGCAACAGCAGCAGCCGAAGAAGAAGACUAUGCAAAAAGGAGUCACCAACAGGGUGUGAGAACUACUGCAAAAUGAAGUAGUCCUCAGUGGAUACCGCUAUCAACCUCAACGGCUCACCCACUAAGUCUACAGAAAUAUGCUCAAUGAGACAAUGAUAGUAAAAGAACUGAAAACAAUCUAUAGCUAUAUGCCACUAUACUAUCAUGAUGCAAUACUAACUAUCUGUCGAAAAAUGCAAUCUCUGAUCCAAUCUCACUAGGGACUGUGAACACACCCGUCCCGCCUGUCAAAGCAAACCCGCAUACUACCCCAAGAGUAGCCGGUGGAGAAAACUCUCUAGGGACUGUGAAUACAUCCGUCCUGCCUAACUACGCUACACCGUAUCUUAAGAGUAGUCGGUCCAAAUAAAAAGGUCUGACAGGACGACAGUGACUCCACUCACGUCACAACCUCACUGAAGAUAGAGAAGGCGUUACUAACUACCACUGAUCCAACCUCACACGGGCUGCCCAAACGGACCCACCCUGCCCGUAUCCAGCUACGCUGCACACCACCGACUGGGGUGGCCAGCACAAGAACUGUCCCAACAAGAAACUGUGACCUCAUCGCACUGAAACUUCAUUCCGGAAUGGCAUUCGUGGGCGCGACCCAACCGAGUUUACAAGUGUCUCUGUAAAGUUCAUUUAGGCGCUCACAGGUUGUAAUCAAAAUAGAACGGUCUAACUGGUCUACAACCAUAAUCUACGUGCCCUCGGCACAAUCCGAUGCAAAAACUGCAAACUGGGUCCACCGUCAACCACAACAGCACCCGACAGUCCGGAACAGUCUAUACACUACUAUAAAAAUAAACUUGACAUCUUAGCAUGAGCGUAAAUUUAUUCUACACUAUCCUGGGUAUCCACCACCCACAAACUACGGCGAUACAAACAAAUUACGGCUCCUAUAGAUAAAUCUAGUAGUUUCAGAAAAUGACGGUGUAAAAUCGAUAGUUUUCUCCUCAGUCAAUUCCAAAUCCAACAUGUAUAAUUUAGCGAAUAUUCUAAGAUCCAAUUCAAAUUUAAUAACAAAGUAAAUCAACGAAUCGAGCUACUAAACAUGCUAUACAAAGUGGAAAAUACAUGCCAUUACAAAUAGGCUUAGGAGGCAAAAUCCGAAAAUUCUGGCAAGCAUAUCAUUAACCCACCUCUAGCACGAGCUCGACAACAGCAAGUAACCACUGGAAUCACCCUCCUAAGAUUAGCAACAACCCAGCAAGACCUUUCUAAGGAUCAAAGCACAAAAAUUGAAAGGUUUCCAUCAAAACUCUAAAUUUCAACACUUAAGUUUAAUUUCACCAAAAUCUCAAUGUCAAACUCACCUUCCAAAGCUCAAUUCAGGUGAAGAAAGGUCCCAAAACCAGGGGAGCAUGAUGGAACAAUAUCCUCAGGUCGAAAUUCCAGCUUCCUCCAAGAAUUGAUCCAAGAAAAUCACAAAAAUCCCAAUUUCAGCUCAAUCAUGACAACAGCUCAGAAAAACGUUAAAUUGACCAUACAAACCUCAAUCAAAUGCUGUCAAAAUAGGCUCCAUGAAACCUCCAAGAAGUCUACUAACCACCAAACUAAGUUUCCCAGCAAUCAGAGCUUCCUACGUCGCACACGAGCCAAAAUACCGAAGAUCGCUGCUGGAAAUCUGCUGAAACUGCAAUCCUCUAAGUGAAAUUGUGGAAUUUGGAGGGUUUAGAGGGACUAAAAUGCAAAAUAGAGGCUUCACUGUGAAAGAGGGUGAAAAACCAGCUCAAGGGUCGUCACCAUGCUUUUAUAAGGAGGUGGAAGGGUCUGAUAAGCCCCAGGAACAAAGAACACUAACCUGCUGUCCCUGCAGAAAUCUGCACUUUCGGGCGCCCGAAACCCACUUCUGGGCGUCCGAAACUCCUAGCCCAUACAAAACUCUAUCUUGGUUCCUCUGCCUAUGAUAAGUUGCGCCCGUAACCUGGUCCGGUGGUUCUCACCUACCACCCUACACGUGUCAACACCCACAUCAAACACAUGGUGAACAUUCGGGCUCACUUCUGGGCGCCUGAAACACAGGAUCUGAAUUGACUUCCAGUUUCAGUUUAGUUCUACACUCAAGAUUUGGGCUACCCAAAUCAGGUUCUGGGCGCCCGAAACUAGCAAAACUCCAAUUUUGCUUAUUUAAGUACGCCAAGUCCAUUUCUGCAUCCAUUUCGUGCAAAAACGACUCCGACUCAGUCCGACACUCUCCAGAUAUGUCGACCAGUCACUAAUACUGUAGCCAAUCCGAUACCAAACCCCCGGAACACUACACAGAGUUGAGCAAUGAUCGAUUUUGUUCAAUCAGUAAUUUUAUUCAUAAAAAGAAUAUGUUAAGCUAUCUAAUAAAUUUUAAUAUUAGAUUUAAAUCAAUCAAUGAUGCUUUUACUUCAAAAUUUGAAUGCUUCUUUUAACUUUACAAAUUUAGUUACUAUGCUUUAUUACGUAUUCUUCGUAACUAAAUUUAUUAAAAUAAAUAAUUAGCUUAAACUUCAUCAAUUUUUCUUUUAUUUUUCAAUAUACAAUCUAUAUGUAAUUGAUUAAUAUUAUAAAACUAAAAUUUAUAUUUAAUAAUAUAAUCUAAACUAUUUAAAAGUAUGUAUAAAUAUUUAUAUAUUUUAAUUUUUAUAAUAAAAGAGGAAAAAAUUUAAUUGGAUUAAAAAAAAAAAAUCUAACUUUAGGGCGUAUUUGUCCAUUUUUCACCAUGGAAUCGGAAUCUGAAUAGAUGAAUCCGUUUGUUCGUAUUUGUUAUGCGGAAUUUUUAUUCCGAUUUCCAUUUCCAAGUGAAUGGGAAUCCCUCAAUUACUCUUUUUUCCGAUCCGGCCUAGGAGGCCGAAUUGAAAAUUGAAUCCGAACGGAAUGGAUUUGUUUGGAUUAAAUUUAUCUUUUUUAAAUUUAUUUUUUAAACAUAAGUUUUAGUUUAAAAAUUAUAUUUAUAAAUUUUAAUUUUAAUUUGAACUUAAAUUAAAAAUUAAAAUUCAAGCAUUUUGAAUCUAAUUUAUAAAUUUAAAAUUAAAGUCUAAAGUUUUAUUCAAAUUUUAUUUAAAAAUUAAAUUAAAUCUAUCAAUUCAAAUUGAAAUUAAAAUUAUAAUUUUAUGUUUGAAUUUGAAUAAAUCAAAAUUUAGUUUUAUAUUUUGAAUUAUCCAUUCAAUUUUAAAUUUUAGUUUUUUAAAAAUAUAUAUUUAAAAUUUUGAUAUUAUUUUAAAAUUUUGACGUAAAUUUUUAAUAUUUAAUUUUAGUUUGAAUUUAAACUAAUAUAUUAUAAAGAUAAAAUUGGUAUAUUAAUUUAAUUACGUUUCUAAUACCUAUCUGAAUCAAACACCGACAAUGAAAGUGGUUCUUUCCGAUUCCAAUUCAAAUGGCGAACCAAAUAGAAUGAGAUUGAAUCAUUCCAAUUUCACUUCCAGCUUAUUCGCAUUCCAAUUUUGAUACCGAUUACGACUUUGAACCAAAUACACCCUUAUAGUCUAAAUGAAAGAAAAAAAUUAAAAUGAAAAUUUUUUAAAAAUGACCUACUUCUAGUUGGCCCCACACAUCCCCAACCCCACAGUUCGUUCCCCCUCCUGCUCCCGCUCUGCCCGCUACAUAGCUUCCAACUCUGUAGUGUUCUAGAGCUUUGGAUAGGAUUGACUUCAGUAUUAGUGACUGGUCAGCACAUCUGGAGAGUGUCGGACUGAGUCGGAGUUAAUUCUACACGAAAUGGAUGCAGAAAUAGACUCGACGCACUCAAAUAAGCAAAACUGGAGUUUUGCCAGAUUCGUGCGCCCAGAACAGGGUUUGGGCCGCCCAGAAGUUGAGUGCAGAACUGAGCAGAACUGGAAGCCAAUUCGGAUCCGUGUUUCGGGCGCCCGGAUGUGGGUCCGAAAAUCCACUUUGGAAGUAUCGUUUGCGCUGACACGUGGCUGGUGGUUGGUGAGGUUCGCUGGAGCAGGUUAUGGGCGCAGCACACCGCUGGCGAAGGACCCGAAGGUGAGCAAGUGUGUAGUCUGGAGGUUUCGGACACCCAGAGAAGGGUUUUGGGCGCCCGAAAGUGCCCGUUUCUGCAGAAUUGCAGGUUUGCAGCUGUUGUUCCUGAGGCUUAUUAGACCGUUCUAACACCCUAUAAAUAGGUAGUGUUCGACCACAAUGAGCUCUUUUCAUCUGUUCUUCACAGAAAAGUUCACUUUAACAUCUUAACCCUCCAAUUCACUCAAAUUGCAUCAAAGGUCCACAACUUCAGCUUGAGAAGUGCUGAUUUUGCAGUUUUCCAGCGACGACCUUCGGUGUUUUGCCUCGUGUGUGACGUAGGAAGGUCGGAUUGUGGUGAAACUUGGUUUGCUGGAUUAUAGACUUUCAGAGGAAUCCACAAAGCCUAGAAUUGCAGAUUUUGGUUGAGGUGAGCUUGGUCGAUUCCAUAUUUUUCUGGACUGCUGGUGACUUUGAGCUGAAAAUCUUUUUUUUUUCUGUUUUCUUGAUGCUAUCUUUGGAAGCAGGGGAAGUUUGGACCUAAGUUAGAUAACUUAGUAUACUUCACUGGAUUUGAGACCCUCCUCACCAGAUUUGGAUGUGAUUAGGUGAGUUUGGACAUUGGAGUUGGGUUAAUUUAAGCUUAAGUGCUAAAUUAUUGGAUUUUUGUCGAUUUCGACGCUAGAUCCUUCAAGUAUUCCAGUUGUUGAUUUGGUGUGAUUUCGGCUGAGUCUCAUAGCAGUUCCGAGACCUCCUUGCUGCCAGGAAAGAGCAUUUGAGGUGGGUUUUCAUCGGGUUAUUCCUAAGUGCAUAUAUAGUUGACGUGUAUGAUUUCCAUUAUUGUCUACUAUUCAGUUUGAUUGAAUUCAUUGAUUAGCUUUGGGCUGUAAUCUGAAUUGUAAAGCAUGCUGAAUGAGUUAAUAAAUUAUACUUGUUGGACUUGAAAUUUUGACUUAGGAGAAAACCAGCGUUUUGAUCCGUCAUAUGAUUCUACUACCUGAUUUAGCUCUAGGAGCCGUGUUUUGAUUAUAUCGCCGUUGUUUCAGCGCGGUGGGUACUCGGAGUAGUUUAGAAUGCAUUUACGCUCGUGCUGAGAUGCCGAGCUUGAUUUUACAGCAGAGUCUAAGCUGUUCCGGGCUGUCGGGUGCCGUCGGGGUUGACGGUGGACCCAUGUUUCUGUUAUUAGUCUCAGAUUGUGCCGAGGGCAUUGGGUUUGGUUUCUAAACCUGUUUUGACCCUAUCUACUUGACUUUGGCUUGUUAGAGCCUGAUUGAGCUCGACAGAGAUACGCUACAUACUCGGUUGGGUAGCUCCCACGAGUGCCACUCCGGAGAUGGGCGCUAUACUUUUGCGUUGGUGUCGUUCGUGUAGGUUGGACUUGCUCUCCACGGACUGGUUAGUGUGGAGGUAGCUGUAUAGUCACAACCGGGCGGGACAGGUGUGUUCACAGUCCCAGGGACGGGUAUGAUUACAGUCCUUAUUUGAGAUUGGGUUUGAGUUGAUAUUGUUCUACAGAGGGUUAAAGUUAGAGCAUGAUAGUAUAGCGAUAUUUAGCUGUAGAUUUGUUCCAACUUUCUUUACUAGUCCUGCUUAUCCCUGUAGACUUAGUGGGUGGACCGAUGAGUUCGAGGGCGGUACCCACUGAGGACUACUUUUUGUAGUAGUUCUCACGCCCAGUUGUUACCCUAUUUUUGCAGAGCCUUCUGUUCCGGCUGCUGCUUCUACCGAGACUGAUCGUUGCAAGGGCGUUGUGAGUUAGAACCCUUCAAGACGAGUAGCAGAGCUAGAGGAGCACCAGCUACAAGUAGUUGUAGUUUUUGGGUCUUUACAUACAGUUGUUGUAUCUUGCCAGAGCGAGUUUUUGUAUACCCUGGAUGACAUGUAAGUAUUGAACCACAGUUUAUAUAUGUGGUUUACUUUUCUAGCUGCUCUAUACUACUGUUUGUAGUAUUGUAUGAUUAUAGGUACUUCUACUAUUUCGCUUCGUAUACCAGAAAAAUUUCUAUGUAUACGGCGGGGUCUGUUAGCGAGCCCGGGAAACGAGUAAUCCGGGGCGUGACAAACUCCCAAUUCAUGAUAUUUAAUUAAUAGGUAAUUGAGCGGUCGUGAAUUAUUCACGAAUAAUAAACUUAAACUCCAAAAAAAUCACAUUUUAUUUCAAAUUUUUAGAAAAAAAAUAUAUACGGAUUAUUUUAUUCAUUUAUUUAAUAAUUCGUGAAUUAACUAACAAAGAGUAUAAGCAAGAGUUAGACCAAUUUUGUGUUUGGAUGAAAAUUGGAUUGUUACUGGAAAUAAGGCUUCGUUUAGGAUUACGAGAAAAUUGCGUUACGUGUGAUGAGAAAGUACGAUGAAAAAAUACACUUUCUUCUAGAGAAAGAAUGUGGAGAGUGAGGGAAAUAGGGGAAAUGGCUGUGGUUUAGGGUUUCACUGUGAAAAUCCUAUUAUAGGUGUGCUUCAAUGGCAACUAAACCACUAAACAAAUCUUACUUGCUAGCUCCUCAAAACUUGCUAUUCAUAGCAUUGAGUACCAGUAUGCGGCUUAAGUCUACUGGUACUUCAGCGGAGUUUCGCAACCAUUGGAUUAUGUAGUUUUCUAUCUUGUAUCAGUACUCACAAAUAUCAGUACUGAUACUUGAAAUUUUUUCAAACUUCAGUACCAAUACCUCUCUUAGUUCUGCAAUAUGCAAGAGUUUUCCUUGUCUCCUUACAAUAUUGUUCUGGUACUCCUUUCUAGUACCGGUACUCAAUACAAAUCCCUAAUUUUUACAGUUUUGAUUUUUCGAAGUCCAUUUUUCGCACCAUUUUCACGUUGAAAAAACACAAAUGUUUCCCAAAUACUAUUGAGGUGAUCCAAAUAAUUUUUAGUUACUAGUUCUUAUUGGAACUCCGAAUGUGCAAAAAUUCAGUAUAUUACACAAAUAUUCGAUUAUCAUACGAAAGGUCAAAACCCUAAUUUCCCUAGCAUGUAACUAAUUCACAUUUAUUUUAAUUAUUAUUCAUGGUACAUACUAAUAAACUAAGAAAUUGUUGGAUGAAAGGGAGAUCAACCCUUUUCGGUCAUAUUCCCCACUUUUGUUUGAUUCCCUCAAAGAGAUGCCUAUUGAUUUCUUGAAAACGCCAAGUAAUCCCUAAAAAUGGUUCAAGCAAAGUUAGAACCCCAGAAAUUCCUAUUUUGGAAAACCUUUAAAAUGAAUCCUAAACAACUAAUCUCUCCGCUCCUAGUACGAGAGAAAACGGUAAAGAGGGUUGCCUUUGAUCUUCUAGAGCUUCCUCUCGAAAUUCUAGAUCUCCUCCAAGCUUGCAAAGAGAUCAAUCCCAAGCUCCAACAAUAGGGGAUGUACUUCAUCGGUUUUUUAGGGCAUAUUUAGUUGCUCGAAAUUGGGUGAAGUGAAAAAAGUCACUUUUACAAAAGUGACCUUUCAGUCCGAUUGUUUGUGUCACGCCCGGGCCCCAGCUAAAGCUCUCUCAACGCGUACACAAACCCGUCGUGUACACCAAGCACCCUUGGUGCACACAAAGCGUCUACAACAAUAAGAAAAGAAGUAGGAAUAGAUUCCUAACAUGGCUACCUAACAUGGCUAUCAGAGCAAGUACAUAAAUCUACUAUAUACAGGAGUCUAGAAUAACAACACUAUCAUAAGAUAUACAAUAAGUAUAAACAAAUGGUACAUCUCGAGUACAUGUAGUUCUCUAAACAAAAUACAUUAUACAUCUUUCAGCUAAACCAAAGAAAGAUGUCAACGGGUUCAACUAUAAUAACACUGAGGAGGCUCUAGCUAGUCGAAAACCCCUUGCCACAAUCCCUAACCACUCCCACUGUGGAAGGCUCUGAAACAAAAACAAACAACCAAUGGGGGUGAGAACUAUUAAACAAUAGUUCCCAGUGGGUAACCCGCAGAGAGUGACGAAAUACACCACUAGGUCAACUGAGGCAUGAAGAUAUGUAAUAAGCAUUAAGCAUACAGUUAACAAUAAAUUGAACAUUCAAUUCUACUCAUGCCUUUACAUGAUAAUGUCAUUUAACAUGUAUGUGAUUUUCUACUGUCACAUGCAUAAUAAGUACUUAUAUAUGCAAGUCUAUAUGCAAUUUACAUGCAUAGGUAAUUUCACUUUCAUUUUCAUCAUGUAGCUAUACUUCUACAUUAAUCAACAUGUGUGUAUAGAUUUUCUACCACUAAGAUUGUCAAUGCAACAAUGAUUAACAUAAAUGCCCAACUACGAUGAAUAUAUUAAGUAGCUUCACAAGGUAAACAAUCCACUAGUAUAGCUAGUCGCUUUAUAUGCAUCAACUAAUUGUGAUGUAUUAUGUCAAGUUUUCUUAACUUUACCCAAUUAACGAGAGACUUACACAUAGCAAUGUCCCGGCUUGUGCCGUGCCUAAUGCCCCCAUGGUAGUCAACAUUCCCUCACUAGAAAUGAGCCUUUCUCACGGCAAUCCACUUCGGCACCCAAUCCUGCACGGGCGAUCUGUCGUCACAAAGGCUAACUCCAGAGUGCCGGCUUGUAGGGAGCGAUUAUCACAAGCUUGUGAGAAUGAGUACAAUGGCAAGCAAGCGUGAUCAUAAGCAUCAGGUCCAAAGACCACAUAUUCCAAUCAUCAUAUCUAAAACAUGGAAUCACAAUCAUCAACUCAAAGGUCAGGUACUAUUUCAUAUAUGUCAUAUUUCAUUCACAAUUAACUUGGUGGUAUGUCUCUACCGAUAUACAACACGCCUUAAGCAUGUAUUGGUUUACAUCUCACUUAUCCUAUCAAGGACGGUUCUCUAUUUCAUUCAUGAUCUAAAAAGGGGUUUCAAAAGUAUACUAUUUCCAUUUUAUUAUAAGGUGAACAAUUUACUAAUAUCACAUUCAAUGAGCUACGAGGAUAUCAACUAGAUCAUGAUUCGGGUCAUGCACAUGCCUUGCUAUGUAGGCCUCCACUACAUGGAGUAUGAUGGUUAUCAUGUAAGUAAUUUUCAUUCAACUAAGCAAUUAUAUGCAAUUGCCCUUUAUAUGCCCAAAAGCAUAGAAAUCUCUUUCGUCAUAUCUAAAACAUGAAAUGCAACUAACAACUUAAAGGUCGAGUACAAUAUCAUAAUGCCCACUUAGUUGUUCAACUAAUUAAGUGCAACAUGCUUAACUUCACAAUUUGUCUCUACCAGGUAAUAGGUCAUAUUUGCCCUUGUCUAAAAUAGAUACAUUAGUUGCCAUGCAAGUUGAACUCAUUAAUUCUACUAACUAUAUAAGGUCCCAUAGAACAUUCAUUUACUCAUCUCUAUUAUACAUUCUAAUGUUGCAUAGGAGGAAAUACAAUUACAUGCUAUUUAGUGUACAAAUCCACAUUUUAAGCCAUCUACUACAUAGAGUAUGAAAACUUCUAUAUGUAACAUGAGUGUAUCAAGUAUUCGAAAAUUCUACCAUAUCAUAACUAGUAUGAAUAUGAAUCAACUUUUGUCUUAUAGCAAUAUAGAAGAUAUAGAGGGCGUUCAUCCAUUUCGGUGAAACCUCGUUCGUUUCUCCGACGAAGUUGUCUCCAUGACUUCUAGCACCCUAAGAAAAAUUUCAAGGGGAUUAUAAGCUUCUAAUAAGCUCACAAUGAAAUUCACCAAAAAUCCAAAAAAAAAUAGGUGAAAAUUAUCUUUGAUCAAGUAGAACUUAUCUGAAAUCCAAAUCAAAGCUAGGAAGCUCCAAAUCCAACCUAAAAUAGUGUCUACGCUCAUCAAUUAGAUUCCAAAAGCUUUGCUUCAUGAAAUUCCAAAAUAAAUCCUAGUUUUCUCAAAACUAGAUUUUCUUCCACAAAUCUUGCAAAAUUUACAAUUAAAUGUUGCAAAAAAAGUACUAACCUUAAUAGAAGCUCGAAAUCAAGCUAGAUAAUGCUAGGGUUGGAGUUAACUUCUCAAACAAGCACUUUUCUUCACUCCCAAGCCUCUUUCAAGGCCCAAGUAGCAGCUUUCAUAAAGAGGAAGAAGAAAAAGAGAUCAAAACCUAAACUCAAAAGAGUUUGGAGAGAAAAAUCUAAGAGAAAUAGAGGGAGUACUCACUUUCACUCUCUCUAUCCUCAGCACAAGAUGAACAAAUGAGGGCUUGAGGGGUUACUUAAUAUGAUGUAACAAUUUUGUAACACACUGGACCUUUGCAAAUUGCGAGGUUCGAGUGUUUGAAUGUAUUUCGAGCUUUUCCACACUUGGUGGAGGGUUGGGGAAUAUUUUUCGACCUAAAAAGUUCGAAAACUUGGAUUCUGGACAAGUCCUGAGAGUUUUUACUCUCGGAGACCGGUCCCUGAAAGGAGAGACCGGUCCCCCAGUGAGCAGUGUUGCGGCAGCCUUGAGGCAACCGGUCCCUGGCAGGCGAGACCGGUCCCCGAGCGCGCUUACGCAGUGAGAGACCGGUCCUGCACAGGGAGAGACCGGUUCCCGAACGUUGGUUUUUCAGGUUCGCAGCGAGAGACCGGUCCCUGCUGGGGAGAGACCGGUCCCUCUGGGCGAAAACUGCCCAGUUCGGGCUGAUGUAAAUUUGAGUUUUUAGAGGGCCUCACUGGAUUUUGUUACACUAGAUGGGCUUAUUAGCCAUUCCACCCUCUUUCCUUCCUUAUUUCCUCAUUCUCAUCCUCUCCCUACACUUUCUAGAGAGAGAAUAAGAAGAAGGAGGAAGAGAAGAGAAGGAGGAGCUUGCUUGAGGAGGCUUGGAGCUUCACCCCUUUCCCCCUUUCCAAGGCUUGGAGCUUGCUUGUAGAGUUUGGUGGUGGACCAAUCUUCAACCCUAGAAGAUUUGGAGCUUGUUUGGAGGCAUCUUGGGAGGUUGUACUUGGAUUCUACCCUUUGAUCCUUGAUUUGGUAGGUUUUACCAUAUGGAACCCUAGAUUGGAUAUUAGAGUUGAUUUUUGGGGCUUUUUGAUCUAGGGCUUUUGAGGCUAGAUUGAUUGGAUUAGAACCUUCCUUUGGCUUGGAUUGGAAGGGAUUUAGCUCUCUUUUGGAGCUUGAGAGAGAUUUCCUACACAUUAGGUGAGUUUUAGCCCUUUUGCUAAGUUUGUUAAAGUUUGAUCUCAUAGUUGAUCGUAAUGCCCGUGUAUCUCUUCGCUCGAUUCUUUUAGGGUAUUUUGAGACUCGUGGACAAUUUCGUUCGGCGAAUCGAGGGAGCACGCGACGGUUCGGUGGGUUUGACCUAACCACACAAUGAGAAAAUCUCAUUGUUGACGAUUUAAGUGUUAUAAAAUAAAAAAGCAUGCAUAUUCUUGUUAUAUGUAUUUAUUGUAAAUUUUAGAAUGCUUAAAAUGCUUAUGUUGCAUAUAGUAAAAUUUUGGGCCUCUAUGUAGUAGAGAGCAUGCAUGUGUGAUAUAACAUUCUGGUUGAGAUAUGAAAUUAAGAUCCCUACUAUGAAAAUGAACCUUGCUUUCAUGCAUUUAGCUUAAUUGCCAAUUGUGACAUUAGGAAUUUUUGGAAGCCUAGAGAGGCUUGAGGACUUAGGCUAUUUGAGAGAUUGGGCCGAUGUCAUAAAGAGGCAUUGGGCCCGGGCUAAAGUAAACCUUGCUAGUAUUGUUUUAAUUGGAAUAUGGAACAAGAAUUGGGCUUGAUCAGUGUGAUGCUUAAGUGUCAUAAAGAGGCACUAAGCAAGUGAGUGUUGGGACAUCACUUAGAGACAUUGGGCUAGAUUCUUAGGAUGCUAGUGACCUUGCCAUGUUAGAGACAUGUGGAUAGAGUAUUUGAGACAGUGACCUUGCUUGUUUGCCAUUUGUGCUCAUUCGCACAUGCUUGUGUGGGUCGCUCCCCACAAGCCGGCACUCCGGAGUUAGCCUACGCGACUUAUGUUCGCUCGUGCGGUAUCGAGAAGCCUACGGGGUCGAGUGGGACAGACACAUUCCAAGAGUAGGGAUGUUGGGCUACCACAGGCACUUAGGCGGCACAAGCUGGACUACCUUGGGUAGGUCCCUAAUUGGAAAUGGAAACCGACACAGUAUUGAGUGUGUGACAGUCACUACUAGAUAGAGAGUAGUAGUUGGAUUACUUGGGUUUGCUUCUAGCAUAGUGUUGGACACAUGAGUAUGCAUAUAUACAGGUUGUAUGCUAGGAGAUGUCGUUUAUUGCCUCCUUACAUGCAUUGUAGUCAUGAUAAAGUAUCACUUUCAUAACUUCAUAAAAUAUCUCAUGAUAUCCCAUAUGGCCAUGUAGAGGCAUAGUAUUCAUGACAAGGUAAAGGUGCAUUAUAUAAAUGCCACAAUGAAUUGCAAUGCAUUAGUGUAGUUUUUAAUUAUGCUUUCAUAAAUGCAAUUUACUCAUUGUCAUUAUUUCAACUGCUUUUUGACUUACCCUUUCUUUUGGGGCCUAGUGGUGCAUUGAGCUGAGGUCAGUAAUUGUCUACUGGGAACUAUAAAUUAUAGUUCUCACGCCCUCUGUUUUGUGUUUUCUUUCAGAGCCUUCCACGCCGGGAGAGGCUAGGGACCGAGGGAAGGGCGUGGCAUCGAGCUAGCUCUUCAGCGAGUGACGAGUCGCUAGGUGGUCUACCUCUCGAUGUUUUUAUUUUGGAGAGGUUGAGAGCUGCACCAGUGUACUAGAGACCACCUUUUUGUGUACCUUUGAGACAGAUAUUGCACUACUUUAUGGCUACUUUUAUUGUCUAGCUUUAUUUCUUUACUUUGGUGUAGAUGAUAGAACUUUGCUCGCUCUGAUAUCAUUAGUUGCUAGUUAUUUUACUUCUUUUUUUAUUUGUUCUAUCUCCUGCUUUACUUCUGCUUUCUAUUGUAGACGCCUUGUAAAGUGACUUUCAUAUUCACUUUCGCAAACCAAACAGCCGAUUAUGUGUCACUUUUUAAAAGUGCCACUUUCGAUGCUUCACUUUCGGCGAACCAAACAUUCCCUUAGAGAGAGAGAGGAGAUGAAGGUGAGAGAGAGGAAAAUGGGCAAUGAGUUAGGGUAACAGCGAAAAACCCUUUUAUAGGGUGUUCUACAAUAGCAACUAAACCCCCUGAAUAUUUGUAUUUACAUAUGAAUAAAUAGCUCUCCGCACGCUAGGCUUCGAGCACCUGCUUGAACUUUUGGGCGCCCACCUGAAUUUUCGAGUGCCUACUUGAACUUUGGGCGCCCACCUAAACUUCUAGGCGCUCGAAUCUGUUGUAGCUGCGCUCGGUUGAGAAACUGGAUACCCAAAGGAUCCACCCGUUUCACAAUCUGAGUGCUCGAAGUGGGAGUUAGGGGCUUGAUUGUCUAAUUCUCUGCAUGAGGGGUGCUCUCAGGUUGAGCGUUCGAAUGAUGUAUCGGGCGCUUGCGAGAGAUUGUCUGAAAGGUAUUUUGAGCACCCGCAUAGGAUUUCGGGAGUUCGAAUUCUUAGUCUAGCAAAAUUCUCUCUUAGGUUGGGAGUCCAAAAGCUGUCCAGGCACCCGCUAGUAGGGUCUGAAACAAUAUAUGGGCACCAGCAGUGCAAUUGGAGCGCUUGAAAGCUGGACUCUUUGGCAGCUAGCUCUUUAGAAGAGCGUUAGGAGGAUUUAAGCACAACAAUGUACCAUUUGGAAGCCAAGGGCACCCGAAGUCCUGUUUCGAGCGUCAGAAUUGAUUUAGAACUCAGUUUUCUGAGUUUCAGGACUCUAUUUCGAUUCGAGUCAUUUUCAAUUCAAUCCAAACUUGAUUUAAACAUCUUAGAACUCAUUUUAAUCAUGUUUAGUAUGACUCAAUUCGUAUUUUAUCAAUUUUAGCCAAAUUUUGAUAUAUUACACGUACACUCUCAGUUAAGCCCAAGCCCAGCCGGCAGCUCGGCUAAAUCCAAUAAGCCGAGGAGUCCACAUUCUAGCCGAGAGGCCCAUUUACCAUAUUAAUAGUUUUUAUAAUUUAAUCCCAUAUUUUUUUCAAUUUACAAUGUCGUAUAGUAUAAACUAGUGUAGUAACCCGUGCGUUGCGACGGGUAGAUACUAUUAAAAUAAAUUUAGCGUCUAACUAAUAUAUCAAAAAUUUAUUAUUAUUUUAAAAAUCAAAAUAGCCCAAGCAUAUUGGCUUCUUGUAAAAGUAUAUUAAUUUGCUAAAGUUGAUUAGUAACAAAAUGUUCAUAGAAAGAUAAUAAGUAUGUUAACCUAUUGAGACGAAAAAUGACAUACUAUUUGGGAGAGAUUUAGAUAAAAAAUCUAAUAAAAAUUAACAUUUUAUAAAUCAAAACAAUCAAAGAGUUAAACUUUUUUUGUUUAAGUUAUAUUUUUAUUCCAUCAUUUUCUAUAUAAGCUAAGAUACUUAUCCCUUCAAGAAAAUGAAGACCUUUUUAGAUCAUAUAUCAAUCUAAUUUUAUAAACAGUUUAUAUCAGUUAAUAAAAAGAGUCAUGAAAAUAGAAAAAAAAAAAGCAUAUGAAAAGUUAUAUAAUAAAUUUUUAAGAGACAAAAAGAUAUACAACCUAACACAACCAAAUACAGUAAAUAUAAUGCAGAACUUUACUUUCGAGAAAAAAAUAUAAAAAAUAAAUGAUAGAAAAAGAAAAAAUAAUAAAUCUUCAACAAAACAAACACAUCAGUUUGAAUACCAUACAAAUAAAAAAAACUUAAAAAAACUGAAUAAAACUAUCUAAGAACUUUUAACGAUACAACAUAAAGAAUACAUUAAUCUUUUAAACUAACUCCUGAAAUUUGAAGGAAAGCUCAAUUUGAUGAAGAUGGUAACGCUAAGCUCGACGAUGCAGCGUGCAAACUUAUACUCCAUCUACAUAACGUGCUUGAUCUUAGCCUCGGAGCUCAUGGAGGAGGAAAAGAAAAUAGAGAAGAAGAGAAUUGGGCUUUUCGUAGGUUUCUACGAUUUACUGUUUAGAUUAUGAUUAAAAUAGGUGAACCAUUAAUUAGAUGUUAUGUUUGUAGGAAAGGUGAAGGGUUGGAUUAAGGUGAGUGGACUAUUAAUUAAACGUUAUGUUUGUAGGAAAGGCGAAGGGUUAGAUUAAGGUGAGUGGGCUAUUAAUUAGAUGUUAUAGGUGGAGGGAAGAAUUAGAUAUUAUAGGUGGACGGAAGACGACGUUAUGUGUAUAGGAAAGGUGAAGGGUUAAGUUAAGCUUAGUGGACUAUUAAUUAGAUGUUAUAUGUGAAGGGAAGCCGAAAAGUUGGUUUCGCUAAAGGAAGGAAACUCCGCCACGUGGCUUUUUUUUUGGGAAAUAAUGUAUAGGUAUAGAGGUAUAGAUAUAUACGGCUACAUAUAAUUAGGGUCCAUUUAGUCUAAAUUUUAGAAAAGUAAUUUUUAUAAAAUUGAUUUUGCUUAAAAGCUAUGAAAUAUUUGGCUGAGUUUAGAUGAAAAGCGAAUUUUUUAAAAUAAUUUUAUAUUGCUAUAUAGCAAAAUUUUUGAUAUUUCAAAUAAUAAUUUUUUUAUUGAAUUUUAUUUUUAAAAUAGUUUAAAAUUUAAAUUUAAAUUAAAAAUUUGAAUUUAAAUUAAAUUAAAAAUUUGAAUUUAAAUUUUAAAUUUAAAUUUGCACAAAAAUUUAAAAUUUGUUAUUUUAAUUUUAAAAUAUAAGUUUGAAAUGCAAAAUUUAAAAAUUUGAAUUUUUAAAUCUAAUUUUAAAUUUUCAACAUCAAAUCUAAAAUCUAAAUUUGAAAUGUAAAAUUUAAAAUUUGAUUAUUUAAAUAUAAAACUUCAAAUUUAAAAUUUAAGAUAAAAAUUUAAAAUUAAAAUUUUGAAUAUUAAAAAUUUAAAAUUUGUAAUUUGAAAAUUAAAACUUAUAAUUUUACAUUUUAAAUUUUAAAUUCUAAAAUUUUUAAAUUUAAAUUUUUAUCUUAAAUUUGAAAUUUGAGAUUUGAGAUUUAAUAUUUAAAAUUUAAUAUGUAGAUUAAAAUUUCAAAAGUUGAAAUUUAAUAUUUAAAGUUUAAAGUCGAAGUUUAAAAAUUUAAAUAUAAGAUUUAAAAUUUAAAAUUAAAUUUAAUUAAAAUUUAAAAUUUGAAUCUAAAAUAAAAAAAAAUUAAAAUUUGAGUUUAAAAUUAGAAUUAGACUUCAAAAAGUAAUAAUUUGGCCGUCAAAAAAUUAAAAAACUAAUUUUAAAAUUCAUAUUUAAAAAAAUAGAUUAUCGCUUCUUCAACCCAAAAUUAUUUUUGAACUUAAAAAUUAAAAUUAUUUUUUCAAAACGCUAGCAGGCCAAACACUCUGAUCGGGGUAGAUGGACUGAAAUGGAUCAUCUCUUCUCCCCAGCUUCUCUCUUUUAAUCAUCUCAAUUCCUCCUCUCGUCACGUUGUUACAACUCCGUUGCCCUAUCUCCUCCUGCAUCCUCUCGCCUCCACUUCUCUUCUCUCUAACCCUCUCCUUGUACCUCCGCUGCUGCCGUUACAGAGUAGUGAUGGACGCCCUGAGGGUAUGGAGGGCUUCUUCCCACCUCAUCGGCUUCGCCUCCAUGGCCGCCGCCGCCGCCGUCCCCGCCACCUCCAGGAUCAGAUUCAGAUUCCUCCAAGUCCGGUGCUGCUCCGCCGCCGCCGCCCCUGCCACUCCAGCCCCUGCCGGCAACGCCGCGACCUCGGACCGCAGCCGCCGCCGGAGUUCCUCCUCCACUUCCGACCGCGAGUCCGUCCGCGCCAUUCGGCUCAAGAAGGCCAGUCUGCGCUUUCCUUUAUUAGAACUUUCCUCCUUCGUUGCAAGGAUUUAACUGCUGCAGUACAGAGUCGCCAAAAAUUUGUCGGCAUGAUAUGGCACAUGAUAUGGCACAAUGCGUGCUAGGCCUAAUCGAUAAGCGUGGAUCAUAAAAAAUACAUAUACGUCGACACAUAAUGAUAUAAAAUAUUUAUUUUUUUAGCGAUAAAAAUUUUUUAGUUGCUUAUUAUUAUGUAUUUCUAUCAAAUCUUUUGAAUUUUAUUACGAAAGUUACUUGCUAAUUUAAAGAAAAGAAGGUUUUGAGCUGUGUUAUCUGCACGGAGGCUUUAUCGUACCGAUAUCUUGUUGGCACAAUACGACACGGUGGAUACGAUCCGUGCCGAUAAGCACUUAAAUCCUUGCUUUGUUGUCUUCUUCAAUUUUAGUUAUGAUUUGUGGGUCAAAAUUACUUCACUUUUGCCAGUUCCUGUCAAACUUCUGUUGUUAACCUGUACAUGGUUUGUGUUAAUGACUGUGGUAAAGUUUACUUCUUACUCUUGCUUCUUUUACAUUCUCUGAUUUCAAAAGUUGAAAACAAGAUGGCACAGUAAGGACAUAUAUGCUGUAUUAGGUUUUGAUUCCUAGAAUCCAAGUAAAAUACAAAAUAAUAUGAAGUGAUUCAAAAUGUGCUUCUAAAAUAUUGUUUCCAAAAUAUUUAGACCUAUGAGUAAUUGAGAAAAUAAUUUGUUUUUCUUUGAUAGUUUUGACUACUAGAAAUAUAUUAUAAAAGGGCCAAAAAACAAGCCUUUAGUUAUUAGAUCCUGGGAUGUCUACAAGAAAUUGUCUUUUUUUUUUUGCUAGCUUUAUCUAUUGCAAAGUCUUAUAUUAAGUCUUAUCAUUGUUUUGUGCACUACCUCCUAAUAAACUUUGGAUCUUCUUUUCUCCUACCAAGAUUGAUAAAACAAUAUUUUACUUAACGAUGCGCGUUAUAUUUGAUACUAGCUUUAAUCCUGUGCAAUGCACAGAUAGUAAUUAAUCUCAACUAUAUAAAAAUAAAUUAAUCUUAGAAUUUAAAUUUUAUUUUAACAUAUAUCAUUAGUAGAUUAAUAGAUUAAUAACUAUAUUGUAAUUUACGGAUUCUUUAUCAAUUUGGCUCAUCUCUGACUUGCAUUAUCAUGACAUCCUAGCAUGUUUUCGUGCUAGUACAUCUUUCUGGAGUAUGUUUCAGAAUAACUGAAAAAAUGUACUAACGCUACCUGAAUGGCUGAAUUACAAGCCGUUUGCAAAUGGAUUUUUGAACAUUAAAUUAAGUACCUAACCUUCCUAAAGUAUUUAUAUCAAUACCUAUUCCCAACAGCUCGACAAAUUAUUGCAUGCACCUUGUGCAUCCGUGCAUCGCAUUGUCAUCUUCCCUCCAUCCCAUCCCAUACUUUCACUCAACCAUCCAAAUUUUAAAUGAAGUGAAGGCCGCAAUUCCACUGGGCGGUAGAGAUUGAAGUAUGAGGCAAAAAGGAGGUAGAUGGUAGAUCUGUGCAUAUAUGUACAGAUGUGGUGGGUGCAGUUAAUAUUUUCUUGAGUUUUGCAGAUAGCGUUGGGGUAAUCAAAGCAUAAUUUUAAAAAGGUUAGAUAUUGAAAUUUAAAGAAAGUUCAGGUAACCAAGUUGCCAACGGUUCAUAAUUUGGGCGGCUUUUGAUCAUCUUUUGCCUUAAAAUAAUUUACAAUGACUGCAAUUAUGGACAUGAUGAGCUAGCACUAUUUCAUCCCAAUAGAAACACAUACUUUACCUUUUCUGAGGUGGGAUUUUGUGGAAAAUUUUGCUGAUAUAGUUUUGCACCAAAUAAGUUUAUCAGACCGUCGGGUAAUUUAGAAAAGGUAGUGAGUUGGUUAAAAUAAAACAUGAUUUUGACGUUGCGAAAUGAGUUAAUAGGUUUGAUGACUCAUAUUGAGUUGUUUACAUUGACUUUGUUUUAUUAAAUUGGCUUAAGUGGGUUGUGUUGCGCCAACCCCACAUGACCCAUUUAUAAUAGGUUGCAGUUGCCAUGUGACAUGUUAUAUUAGUCAUGUCACCCCCGAGUUUAAUUUUUUGACCUAUUUUAGUACUUGAGUUACACUUUGGACCAAAUUAUACGUUAGAAUCUUAGUCAUAUGCACUUGAUAGAGUUUUUUGGGGACAAUAUAUUCAAGUGACUGUCUGAACUAGAAAUGAUAAAAGUAGUUUGGUAACAGUCCAAAAAUAAUAGCAAUUAUAAAAUAUCAUGCUAAACUGAAUAUCUAAUUUGUUGUUAUUCAUUGUAUUGUGUCUUUUGGAGCUAAGGUUGAUUAGUCCAGCUGAAACCUCUAAAGCACUUUGGAUAAGAUGCAAACAAUUACACGUGAAUGGCAAUGAAAGUUGUAGUGGUGAAAGUAGUCUAACUGUAGUACUCACAAAGGACUCAGUACAGAAGGUUUAAGAAAUCGUUUAGUUAUUUACCUAUCAAAUGCUUCCGAUCACAUUCUACCAGAAGUAGAUGCUCUCAAACUUUAUACAUCUAUACCAUACAUUCAACCAGAAGUAGAUGCUCUCAAACUUUAUACAUCUAUACCAUAACAUAUAUGAUAGUUCAAUAUUUCCUAGAAGGUUGACAUGCUUAAACCUGCUGUUCUUUUAGAAAGAAUAUCUGUGACAUUCUUGUUGAGGUUGUACUAAUCCCAACCUAUCUAUUUUAACCCUGAUGAACUUAAACUAUUUGUUGCCAUUUAUUUGAUUCUAGUUCUUCUUUUCAAAAUGAGACAAAGAAAAAGUAAAUCAAGUUGGGGACUCGAUGAGUUACCUUUAGUCUCUACUUCAGUUAUAUCCUUUCAAUCUUCAUGCUAUAGAACAUUGAGAAAGCUUUGUUUCUGCAGCAAAUGUUAGCCAAUGAAUAUUUGUAUUUACCCUGUCAGUUUCUUCAAUAUUAAGUUAUGCUUGUUUAGGUAGAAGAAUUAAGAAGUAAAGGUCAUGAGCCAUAUGCAUAUAAGUGGGACAGAAGUCAUACAACGAAGGAGCUUCAAGAUGCUUAUAAUCAUUUGGCAUCUGGUGAAGAGUGUAAGGAAGUUUCAGUGUCAAUAUCUGGAAGAGUCAUUGCUCGGAGGGCAUUUGGAAAACUUGCUUUCGUGACUUUAAGGGAUGAUUCAGGCACAAUUCAGGUUACUUUAAUUCUAUUAGACUUAUAUUCCAUCUGAACAUGUUAGGGCUAUUUUCCUAUUUUCAUCUUUCUGACUUAUCUUACAUAUUUUGAGUACAUGAAUACUUGAUCUUGCCUUUGUCUUGCUGGACUUGAAUACUCUGCAAAAUGUGUUAAUAAAACAUUUUUUGUUAAUGAACGAUAUUGGUUCUUUGUUUAGAUUUAUUUUUUUUUUUGUUCAAGUGUUUCUUCAAGAACUGGGCAUUUACAAGUCAUCCAUACACUCUAGUCAUGUAUUCUGCUAAAAGUAGUACAUAUUAUGUGAUUUGUGUGUUUCAUUUCCUACCCUAAUAUGUUGCAUUCUGGUGGCAGUUAUACUGCGAGAAGGAAAGCCUCACAGAUGAUCAUUUUGAACAAUUGAAGACAUUUGUGGAUAUCGGUGAUAUUUUGGGUGCAAGUGGUUCUAUAAAGAAGACAGAAAAAGGUGAUCUGUGAAGCAAACUCCUUUAUAUCUUAUUCAUUGCCUCAGAUUUUAAAAUUUUUUUUAUGCUUCUUUUUAUUUUCAAUUACAGAAGAUGCUAUCCUAGUAGGAGAUGUAUGGUUCGAUGGUUAUUCUUUUUCUGCCUAAUUUUUAUUAGCAAUUACGCGUAUGGGCAAUUGGGCACUUGUUGGGACUACUAACAAAAAUUUUAUCACUGAUACACAUGCUAUUGGAACCAAAUCAUUUGCCAUUUUUAAAGAUGCUUGAACGUUAAGUUGAUUCAUUGUAGAUUUGUUUGUUGCAGGGGAGCUAUCUGUUUAUGUGAAGUAUUUCGAAAUCCUUACAAAAUCUUUACUCCCUCUACCAGAUAAAUACCACGGCCUAACUGAUGUGGAUAAACGAUACCGGCAGAGGUUGGAUUUUACCUACUUACAUUUUUUAAUGCUAUGUAUAAUGUUUUCCUGCCUACCGUAUUAAGUGCUAUUCCAAUACUAUACUCGUUCUUUCAAUGUUUAGGAAUGUUAAAAAAUAUUCAUAGGAUUUCUUAUGAUGCUUUAAAAAUCUGGCUAGCUAUAUGUCAACAUAAAACCUCAGUAUAUCCUUGUUGUGGUCCAAGUGCCUCUUUGCCUAUCUCCUAGAAGUGCUUCACUUUGGUGAGCAGCGCCAACCUAACAUUUGGCUAACAGAAGGAAAGAAGCUUAUGUGAUCUCAUUUUUCUAGGAUGGUUCAAGAAAUGUCGAUAGAUUAAUAAACACACUUUUUUUUUUUUUUUUUUUUUUUUUUUUUUUUUCCUUUUUUCUUUUGGUGGGUGGUUGGGCGGUGUUAUAGAUGUUCAUAGAAAUUCAGAGCUAAAACAAACGAGGCAAUCUGUAGCCAUUCAUGGAAUCUUCAUGGAAGAAUGUGCUGGAGCAACUUAUGGUUGCAAUUAAACCAACUUGUAAGGCUUUAAGCAAAGAAUAUGCUAGCUGAUUUUCUUACAUUUUGGAAUAGGACGAGUUUGGAAACCAAUCUUAAACUCCUCGAAUGUUUGAAAAGAAGACAAUUUCUAGCUGUAUCAUUGCUACAGGGCUUACACUCUACCAACCGGUACUUUAAUCCUUACUUCAUAAAUGUUUGGUCACUUAACAUUAUCCUCUACCAGUAUCUAUUUUUACUAGGCUGCUUCUUUGCAUGCUCGGGAGGAAUGUGAUGUGAUGCUUUCGAGUUCCUUUCAUAUUGAUUCUUUUAUGCCUAUGCUAUAUCCUAUUGACUCAAUGUGGAGUUGACUGUUAUUAGUGUAGACAUCUAAAAAUUUGCUUUUCAUGUGUUGAGAUAGCCACAUAAUACUUCAUCCUUUCAAGAAAUUAUGUUUAUUACCUAGUUGAGCUUGUGAACCCUAUGUAAUAAUGAAUUUAUCUUUACACUCAGAUAUGUUGACAUGAUCGCAAAUCCUGAGGUUGCUGAUGUAUUCCGAAUACGAGCAAAGGUGGUGAACGUAUAGCAUACUGUAUUCAGAAUACUUUCUUAUUGAUAUCGGAAUAAGUUUUCCAGUGAUAUCCUAUUCGGUAUGACGAUUUUCUAUUAUGAACGGAAGCUAAGAGUAUGGACAGAUGGAAUAGCAUACUAUGCCUUCAAGUCAAUUUUUUCAUAAUAAGAUAAAUCACCUUGUAGAUGAAAUAUGCUAUCCUACCAAAUUAUGGAUGCCAAGGCGUGUAAAGUAGAAAAAAUCGAACUCCUACUUUCCAAUUCUUCAUGCUAAAUGAGGUAUCAACAAACAACUUAUUUCAACAUCCAAACAAGGUCAAUGUAUUGUGGAAGUUUGUGACUUAUAUAAGAUGCUUAACUUUACGGAACUUCUUAUUUCCUUGGGUUUAUCCUUGUGGUUGCUUUUGCACAUCUAUUCUUAUAUUAAGAUAAACCACCCUUGUAGUAGCUAUUGUGCAUCUUGAUUAUUUUACGUUUACCCUCGUUUGUGUUCUUACUUAUAAAUGUUUGGAAGAUCUCAUAGUUUAUUAAUGCAGAUUGUGUCUGAGAUCCGCAAGACAAUGGAAUCUUUGGGUUUCAUCGAAGUUGAGACUCCAGUUCUGCAGGUCUACCACAUGUACUUGUCUUUCUGGUCCAGGUUUUUUGUCCUUUUAAUGAUGAACCUGUUAUUUGCUGUACUUUGUGAUGACGUUGGACAAGCAUUUUCAUGGAAGUAUGAAACUAAUACAGAGAUAAAUUCAAAUGAAUUACUAUCAUUAUUCAAAUUUAGUUUUCAUCUAUGAUGUUGUCUCAAAACGUUUGCAUUUUCAUGUUUAAAUUUUAACUGAAAAGCUUAUAAUUGAGAGUUAGAGGUUGUUUUAUUGGGAAAAACGAAAGGAUGGAGAAACAUUGAGAAAAAGAGAGCGAUGUAAGUGAAUGGAAAAAUAUAUUAGCUUACAUUUAUGCUCAUUGACAUUUUUUUUUUUCUUACUAAUGAAGGGCUUUUUAAACUAAAAACUUGUUCAUCAUGAGGGAUCGGACUAAAAAUAAAACCCAAUCUAGCCAUGCCUAUCUGUGAGGGGCAGUGCUAACAUGAUAUGCUAGCUUAACAUUGUUGCAUUACUCUUUGAUUGCUUGUGCAAAGCUUUAUGUGAAACUAGGUAAGGAACCCGCGUGAUGCGGCGGGUAGAAAAUAAACACAAUAUGAUGGAUAGACAAUUUUACAUAGUUAAUAGAUUGAUAAAUCAAUUUGGAUACAAUAUAGUAGAAUAAAAACCUAGCAUAAAUAUUGAGAACAAUAGUUAAUAUAAGCCAGAUUGUUUUCACAAUAAUUAAGAAUUAAAUAUAAACUCAUAUCUAUUAAUUCUUAGAUAAUCAAUAAACCAAGGUAGCACAAAAGUAACGGUCAACAAAGUUUACAUAAGCCUACAUAGAUGUUAAAUCCAAAAUUGUAUAAGUAAUGUAGAUAAUAAUAAGAAUUUGAAAACAUCAGAAACCAACCUGACAAUUUUGGCGCAAUGACCACAAAACCGCCUGCAAGCCGCAGCUUCAGCAAAAUAAGAGAAUCGUGGCAACAUGCAUCAGCAGGAAAUGAGAAGGUAUUAAUAAAAUCACCAGACGAAUAAUCAACAUGGACUAAUUGCAUAUAUCCACAUAACCACUUUGCAUACCCGAUUUUUAAGCUCACCCUUUCUAAGCCUAGCGAGAGCAAUUCCUCAACAGGGGAAGGGUCUUUCAAUGAACAAAAAACCCACCUUUCUUAGCCCUCCGAGAGAGAACAAACAAUAGAGAAGGCUUUGUUCAACGAGAAAAGGGCCAGUAGAGCAGAAAUUAUCAGGAUAACUAGUUUAGAAAUAGAGGAAGAAAAUGGAAGAGGAAUAGUACAUGAAAGGCCACAAAACUCCAGAACAAUCCCUGUAUUUAUAAGCAACCAAGCAAAGCCCGCAGGGGGAAGGGGCAGGGGGCGUCGUAUGGCCAGGUAGGCUGCUAGGUGCAGAAGAAGGACGGGGGAUUGAGUAGCCCACCAUAUUGUUUCUCAGAUCAAAGCAACCAGAGGAAGAGGCGACAUGGGCAUGCGGUAUGGCGAGCUAGGGUUCCAAGCAAAGAAGAAGGAGGGAUCAAGUUCUUCACUGAAUUCUCGUACCACUCUAUCGAUCAAGUCAUCGAGAGCGAGAAGGGCACGGGUGGCCGUACGCGCACCAGGGCUUCGAAAUCAUUUCCCCCGAAAGAGGCAAGUCACUAGAAUCCUCAAACGCUGCCGGCCGUACGGGAGCUGCAAAGGGAAGGGAAGGUACCCCCAUCCGGCUGUGGAGCGAGGGUAGCCAUCGUACAAACCGCCAUCCCUCCCUGCCAUGCCGCCGAUGAUUGCAUGUGUUAGCAGGGCCAUGCCGAUAAAGACCCAACAAAUUAGUGAGUGAGAUUGAUCGAGUGAGAGGGAGUAGGAAGCAGCAAAUUAAUGAAGGGUGAGAGUGAGAAUGAGUGAAGGUUGGGUGAGAAGUAGGAAGCACCAAAGACGAAAAGACGCAUGCGGGGAGUAGGUAAACGACUCCCCUCCAAAUGCGGAGAAGCCUCCAAACUGCUAAGGAUUCACCAUUCUAAGAUGAAGACCCAAUAAAUUAAUGAGUGAGUGAGAGUGAUUGAGUGGGAGGGAGCAGGAAGCAGCAAAUUAAUACAGAGUGAGAAUGAGAGAAGGUUAGGUGAGGAGAAGUAGGAAGCACCAAAGAUGAAAAGAUGCAUGAGGGGAGUAGGUAAACGACUCCCCUCCAAAUGCGGAGAAGCCUCGAAACCUGCUCAGGAUUCACUAUUCUAAGAUAUAUAUGGAUGUUGGAUCUUGGUUAAAGUUCUCAUUCCACUAUUGAUUUGUUUGGUCUAUUAAGAUGAUUGACCAAUCAUUAAGUAGAACGAGGCAAAUAAUUGCUGGAAAAAUUUCCAGUUGCGAAUAAGAUAUUUAAUAUUGUUUAUGACUGUCGUCAUGUUUAGCAGAGAUUAUCUGGCUCACCGUGUAACAGAUAUUUAAAUUCACGUGGAAGACAAAAAAAAAGGAGAGAAAAAGAAAAGAUUGGGUCAAAAUUAAAUACAAAACAGUCUAGCGUUCUUUUAAUUAUGCACAUUACCAAGAUAGAGUUGAAGGGAGGAAAGUUAUUCAUUCAUAUAGCUUAUGUGAAUUUUAUUGAAUUAAGUGGUGGAGUAUAUCAAUGUAAGCAUGGAGUAAACUUUGAGUGAAUUAGAAACACAAUGUAUAACACUUUAGUUGAUAAAGAAAUUUUACUGGGCUGCAGUAAAUUAUUUUAUCCUUGGCAUUCUUAGCUAUAUUAGUAUGCGAUAACAACAGUCUGGUCACUGCAACUGGUGAUUUUAAGAGAAUAAAACUGCAAUCUUAUAGUAAGGGCAUCCUUACAUACAAUUUCAAUUUUAUCUUGUUUAUAAUGCACUGAAGAAUGGCGCUGUGACUAUAUUGUAUUAAGUGUUCUUUGAAACUUACAUAAUCUGAUAAUCAUGAUAAUCAUGCAACACUUCCUGGAUGCAAUUGGAGGACUUACCUGCAUAUAUUCUGUGUUUGAUCUAAAUUAGGACUUAAGCACUUAGGCAGCAGUUAUUGCUUGUGAUUACCGAGCUUUCUCUUUCUUUCUUUCUUUCCUAAAUUAAAUACUGCGCCUCUUAUAUUGAGAAACUUCUUCAGAGUUCAGAUUUGACAUUUUCUCUUUGACCAAUCUUUGCUGCUUUUUUUGGUAAAUUAUCAUAAUCAAAUAUUUAGUUCUACAUUCUGAUAUCUUAUGUACUUCAAAAUAAGAUCAACCGCUAUAGUGAUGUCAGAUUCGCCAUAGUUUCUUGUAGCUGAAUCUGUACAAGCUUGAAAUCUCUUGGAAACUUUUGAAGUGGUUUUUUCAUAUCAACAGAAUAUUGUUAUUUUCCCUGAACAAUUUAUGACAGUCAUUUACAAGACUUAAAUUGGUAAAACAGGGAGCAGCUGGUGGUGCAGAAGCGAGGCCUUUCGUCACUUACCAUAACUCACUUGGAAGAGAUCUUUAUUUGAGAAUCGCAACGGAGUUACACUUGAAGCGAAUGCUGGUGAGGUUGUAGUGCCUAUUUAAAUAAAUUUUCUCCAAUUCCUUCCACAUCGAGAAGCUAAUAAUUUUUAUGUGUUAGGCAAAUACUAAAUCAAUUACAUCCUUUAAUAAUGUUAAAUUAGUAAAUGUUCUUAGUACAGUUUGAAACACUUAUCAUUUAAAUAGUAAUUACUUUGUCAUUCAAUAUUUACUUGAAGUUUCAGAUCUAUCAUGAAGUUGGCUUUUUGUAGAACAAUUGUUAGCAAGACAGUUUUCCGGAAAAGGAAAUUCAUCUGCUCAUGUUUGCAUGAUGAUCGAAAUAAACUUUACACACAAGAAUGGAUGACUUAGUUCAUGCAUUCUAUACGUCAUACAUCAGUUGUAGGCUUGUGUCGAAGCAAGUUAUCCACAAUAACUAGUGUGAUGCCAUUUAAUUUUGCUAUUAUAACCUAGAAUUUUUGUUUUAUGCUAUCAUGAAAUUUGGAAUUCUGGAUCAUGCUUGAAUAUGCCUAACAAAGAUGUUAGGGCUUGAGUAAUGGGAGUUUGUCGCACCCCAGUACCACAUUGGAAGAUGAUGGGAGUCUACUAGAGCCUUUACUUUAAUAUUGGUAGCAUGGAUUUAUGUAUUUUGUCCUACAUGGUUGAAGCCCAAUAAGAUGUACUGAAUGGGGCAUUUUGUGUCACGCCCCCGAUUACAGCGGAAACCCACGGGUAUGCCAACAGACCCGCCAUAUGCACGAGGAUGCACCCCACAUACACGAAGCGUGGAACAAUCAACCUGUGCAAAACAUUUACAUAGUGUGUAUAUAAAAUCUAUCAGAGUCUACAUACAACUAUCUCAUAAUAGUUGCAAUCGUACAACCACAAUAUAAUACAUCAUCAUCUGCCCUAUCUGGCCCAAUAUGUAUAGCUAGUUAUAUGUCCCAUGUGUGGUUCUCCUCUAGUACUUGUCUUGGGUAGGAAAUGCCAUCUAGCCUGCGAUCCUCUUACCUCAAUCAACAGCCGUCACUGAGGGCUUUGAAAUAAAAAUAACAAUGGGAGGGCGUGAGGAUUACUAAAAACCAGUUUCCAUAGUCAGCGAUAGCGAUGACCUACACCAUUAGGUCUACUCGAGGCAUUAAUAGUAUAAACUGAACCGAAGAAGUAAUCACAUGGUUUAAUGAAAUGGAAGCAAGUAAGCCUCUAUCAAUAAGAACUGGGAACUAUAAAGCAUGCCUCAUAUGUAUCAACUAGAACAACUGAUACUAAAUGUCACAUCACCCAAUCAAACCAACCGACAUAUCAAUUUGGUUCAGCCUGUGCCUUGCCUAGUGGAAUAGCGAACUAUCGCACCUCCACUAAUAAGGCUUUCAACUAGGUAGCAAACCCUUGCACAGUUACCGUGGCUCGAUUACUUGCACAACUGCUUGGUUUACCUCGAGAGGACCGUCUCACUAGGAAGCGGCCGACGAGUAUACAAAUAUAUAGUUGAGCUCAUUUGGCUCUAACAGGCUAUAGUUAUAUUCUAUGAUCAAUAGAUCACAUGAACUUUCACUUUCACUUUCACUUUUACAUUCUACUUUACACCUGCCUCAUGGCACUUUCACAUUUUCACAUUUGCUAACCUCGUAUCAGUACCACAUGUACCACAACAUAGUAUAUAUCUCAAGGCAAUAGCUAAUGACUAGUUCCGUCUUUGGUUUCAAAUAUCAUAAUAUAACGUUUACUAUGUCAGUAUAGUGCCACCAAAUGCUAACUACUCUAGCCUGCUCAUUGUAGCAAGACAAAACAAUAAAUAACACACUAGCAGGCUUAACAGAUCAUUAGGAACACAAUCUCAACUGGAAUAUAUAGCAAGGUUUAAAGUGCUGUGGCACGGGGGCGUGCCGUUAUGUCGCUGGCACAGUACAGCACGGGCACGCUUGCGUGCCGACAGAUACGCACGACCUCCUACUUGCACGCUUUGGCACGGAUUUAUUUCAGUUUUUUUGAUUCCAAUAAACUCUUAUAAUGUUAUUUUGAAAGAUUUAAAUAAAUAAUUAUGAAUAUUUGCUAUAUAUACCUUACUAUACUCAUCAAUUAACAUGCAUGUAAGCUUUUUGUAAGUAAAAUACAACUAUACCUGAUGUAGAAUAAAAAUUAAAAUACAAUAAUAAAAUUCACAAGUAUAAUAAUUAUUUAAAUUUACAUAUUUACAUAUAGAUGACUGCUUAAUUCCACAUAGAUUGUCGCGCUUGAUCAUAUGACAUAUUGUCAUCUGCAGAUACAAGAUUUAUUUGACAAUGUUGAUAUAAGUAUUGCCGGUAUUGUGAGAAAGUCAUAUAUUUCCGAUAUAUGUCAUUGUAUUGUCGGAGAUAACCUGCAUAUGCAACUGGAUUGUGGAUAUAAUGGACAACAGUCAUCUGUGACAUAUAGAGUGAAGCAUCAUAAGGAUUUGGAUUGUAAGGAAUAGAAGAACUAUAAUGUGGAUAUGCAUGAGUGGACGUAGAUUCGCCGUAUGAGCUUUCACUAUGUAAUGGGAUGGAUUGGGAUUCACUCUGAGUGCCAUAAAUUGAUGAAUCAUAAUCAAAUAUCUCUCCAUAUAGGCCGUGUCGAUAUGAGGGAUGCGAUGAUAUUGAAGUACUAUCAAACUGUGUGUGCAAAGUAUCAUCCUUUUGUGGAUGUCUAGUUGAUAUUGUCGUCAAACCUUCUCUCAUCUCUCCAUAAUCAUGUUGUGAGGACCUCCUAUCUUUUCGACUGUCAUAUACCACUCCGGAUGUUUGACGUAGUCGAGAUCCAUGAUCAGCAUCUUGAGGGGCAUGUGUGAAGUUUUGCUCUUCAGUAAAUAUAAGGCCACGGCCACCCCUACUCUCUUGUUGUGUUGGUGGAAUGAAGUCGCCACCAUCCUUACUGCUAUUAGUGGUAUCAUCAUCAUCACUACAUUCAUCUUUAGACUGUGGUAAUCCAGAAUCUGCUGGUGUCGAUGUAUCACUAUCAUCAUCUUGUGGGAGUGCAUCAGCUGCAUCUAAUGGAUCCAUCGAUGUCAUACUUUUUUUACUCUUACCACUUCGGACUGUCAUUGAAGGCGUCUUUGCGGAAUAAGAUGUUUUCUCCUUUCUAGAUUGACUCUGAGUAUGACGUGAACGACCAUAUCCAGGUCUUUGCAUAAGACGCUCGAAUUCUGCAGCAGAGUCAUGUGCAGGAUUUUGGGAUUCUUCGUCCAAAGCCGUUUGUUCUUGCACAUUACCUUGAGACUUUCCUAUGUUUUCGUCAGCCCAUCUUUCAACAUCACUAAUUCCUGCUUCAUCAGCAAUUAUUCUGAAUGGUCGUGGUGGAUCUACAGGCUCAUCGAGUAAUGGGUCCUCUUGAUUUUCUCUAUCUUGUAGCCAAUCAAGUACGGGGUCUGAUUCAUCAUUGAUAAAACUUGCAUCCAAGGAAUCAUAAGUUUUUAAUUCAUUUUCCUUAUCAUACUCUUGCAUGCAUCUUAAACGGAGCCUUAUAUUAUAGUGGACAUAAACUAGCUUCUCUAAUCGAGCGUACGCUAAUCGGUUACGCAUUUUGGUAUGUAUCAGUGCGAACGUGCUCCAGUUGCGUUAACAUCCACUAGACGUUGUCGUUUGAGAUAAGACAAGCACAACAAUCUUUUUUAAAUGCUUUGCUGAUCCACCAUAUUGUAACCACCAUUCAGCUGUACAAUUAAAAGUUAAAAAUAUAUCAAAUAAGAUUUAUCGUUAGCUGUAAACUGUCCAAAUUAUGGAGUUACUUACUGGGAUCGGUAUUGUGUCUUCCGUUAAUUGCACGCGCUUCACUACAAGUUCCAGAGGAUUCACGAAAUAUUUUUUCCUUUAUUAUGAUAGUAUAAUAAUAAAAAAUCAGCAUAUUAACAUCUAGCAAAUUAAUAAUACAUUGAAAAAAUAUUAUACCUCACUUAUUGCAAGAGCAGCAUUUGUUGGAUCCCUCUCCUAUCUAUUGAUAACGUUUCGUAAUGCCUUCAACAGUUCAUCAUCGAAUCCAAGAUUAUAACAAUGAUGGUACGACGGAUUAAGAUAAUAACCUAUCAUUAAGAAAGAAAUCACUCCAUUAACAAUACAAGACUAUUAAUGAACAAUCAGUAAUAAAUAGUUUUGUUAUAAUUUAUAACUUACCUGCUAGGUGUAGAUCCCGGCUCAUCUGGACGUCCCAACGUCUGUCAAUAAUUUUUAGAAAAGAUUGACACCAUAGCGGAUUAGUUUUUUUACUAUUAUCUUUAGCCAUCCUCAGUUUAUAAUAGGCAUGUCCCAUUUGAGGUAUUUUUUCCUGAUCCACUAAACGGAGGACCACAUAUAGCGCCUCCACAAUAUCAACAAUCUCUUUCAUAUAAUCCCAAAACUUGGCAGACAGAAUUAUUUGCUCAAUCGAUUUUUCAUCAGCCGUGGAGGCAUAACGAGAUGUUUGCCAUUCAUCUGAUGCAAACAUGGACUUUAAUCCAUUUUUAUUUUGAAGGAUACUGUUUAGAGCAAUAACAUUUGUUGCACAUCGUGUGAUACCAGGACGUACGAGUUCUCGUCCUGUGAAAUUCACCAUUAAAGCAUGGAUCCAAAGAUGAUUAUACAAAUACUUAGAUAUACGUUGUGCAGUAUCUAUAGUUUUUUUCACCCGAUUUAUCUCACCAAAGUCAGACAUCAUUAGGUUGAUGCAAUGCGCUGCACAAGAAGUCCAAAAUAAAUGUGGAUGCCUUUGCAUUAAUAGCUUGCCAGCUUUCUUAUAGUUUGCACCAUUGUCCGAUAUAACUUGUACCACACAUUUCUUACCAACCUCACAUAACACUUGUUCCAAUAAUGCAUAUAUAUAGUCAGCAUCUUCAAAUCGACUGGUUGCAUCGAUUGAUUUGUGAAAGAUCACCUUGCCAUUAUAAUAAAUUAAAAAAAUUAUAAUGCUCAUUUUUGUUGGUCCUGUCCAACUAUCACAUAUCAAAGUCACACCAUACAUCUCCCACAGUUGUUUCAAGUUUUUUACCCAUACAUGAAUAUUAUUGACCUCGGCGUCAAGGUAUUUGCCAGAGAUCUCAUACGACGUUGGGGGUUCAACUCCUAGACUUUCUUUUUGUAUGGUAGCAAUCAUUGAUCUAUAAUAUGGAGUGCUUGCUGCAUGGGAAGGAAUAUGACUAAAGUGAAAAAAUUUUGCUAUUGCUCUACCAAUUCUACCUUUUUUAUCUUUUUUUAACAUUGUAUCUAUAUGCUGCUGUUGAGCAUCUGAGUGUGGAAAUGCCAUUGGGUCUAUAUCUAUAAUAUUUGGAUGUCUUCCACUUUUUUCUUUUGGUCCUUUUUUAAAUCUGUCGAACAAACGGCUAACAGAACCACUGCAAGCUAAACUGACGCCGGAACUUAGAGGGAACGCGGAGAUAGGACAAAUAUAACACGAUAAAUACUCGACCCGUCGUAGAAUCCACCACGUCGAACUCAAGCACACUCACCACUAUGCGGAAUCCACCAACACAAUGGUUGAGCAACACUCUUCUCUCACAGGAAAUCUACCUAAGAGAUAGGAGCAAGAAGAAAUCCUUCUUCUCAAAUAAAAGUAGAAACUUCAACUCAACUUGACUUGCCUUUUCAUUAUAAAAUCAUUAGAUAUUUAUAGGCUCUCAAAUGACCCGUCAUCUUCUUUACACAUUAAUGCACUCUUUAAUUUCAUAGAGAAACUAAAAGGCACUUUUAGGAAUACUAAAAGACACACACAAAUCUAGACUAUCAUAACUCAUUUUAAGAAAACGAAAAGACAAUUAUAGAAACAACGAGAUAGAGGACACUUAUUCAACGGAAUUUAUUAGGUUUAGUUGUGUUCGGAUUUAAGCAAAAGUGGGUAUUUGCCGAGAUAGGUUAAAUGAGUAUAACGGGAUUAGAUCAAUUGUUGUGUUUGGGAUGAAAUUAGGUUAUUCCUAGAAUAAGAAAAAUAGUUUUGGUUAGUAAGAUGGAAUAAGAAUUAAAGUGGGUAGUUAUAAAUAAAAAAUAAUAAUAUUAUUCUUUUCUUUAUAUUAGAAUUAGAAUUUUUAUAUUUUAUAUUUAUAUUUUAAAAUUUAAAAUAUAAACUUUUAAAUUUUAAAAAUCAAAAUUAAAUUUUAAAAUUUUAAAAUCUCAAAUUUAUAAUUUAAAAAAAUUAAUUUAUCAUGAAUAUUAUUAGAUAAUCAUAAAUGUUAAUUAAUACAUUAAUUACCAGAUUAAUUAAUCAUUAAUCAAUUAACCAUGAGUACUGUUAAUUAAUAAAUUAUCUAACUAUAAAUAAUUUAAUAAGUUAACAAAUUAGGCUAAUAAAUUAAUAUAUUAGUAAAUUAAUUAAUUAAUUAGUUAUGUUGGUAAAAAUAUUAAUUUAUUAAUCAAUAAAGAUAUUAGUUAUUGCAUAAACACACUAAUAAAUAAUUAUUAAUUUAGCUAAUAUUUUAUUAUUAAAUUAGUUAAUUUUUAAUUUAGCUAAUUAAUUAAUAAAAUGAUAUAUAUAAUAUAUUAAUUAAUAAUAUUUUAUUAUUAAACUAGUAGAGGUAUAAAGAGAAAUUUUGUUAUUCCACCAAAAGGGUGGAACAACAAAUCUUCCCUCUUAAUGGGUUAUUCUAGAAUAACCCGUUAAGAGGGUGAUUAAAUAAACUCACUCCCUCUUAUAGUGUUUGGAUGAAUUAAAGUGAUAAAGUGGUCUAUUCCCACUUUAUCCCUCAACCAAACAAUGCCUAAGUGAUUAAUGGCUUCAUCCAUCAACUUCAGGAACGGUGUCAUAAACCAGAUGGUGUAGACCCAGACCCAGACCUAGACCCACCACCGGCAUCAAACUGAGAGCGUCCAAAUUGUGCUCUAUGUCGUUGGACUUCAUCUUGCUGCCAUCUUUCUUGUGCAGAUGCUUCCAUGACAGCUCUAGCAUCAGCAUCUAAUUCGUCUCCUAUACCUUCAUAUGGGUCAAGGGGGAUAUUCUGCCGCUCGUUUAUCUAGUUCAUCUCGAUCAUCUCUUUCUUUUUUGCUAAUUUUGAAGAUUCUAACUCAAUUUUCAUUGCAUGUCUUAUUUCCUGAGGGACUUUAGGGCAGUUCGAUACUUCAGAAAAACCCCCAGCAAUAUGUUUCUUUAGGCGAGUGACACCUCCGCCCAUUCCGACCAUAUUACAAUAAUUGCACUUCCAAUGAAACCUAUUCCCAUCAAUCAUUUGUCUAUGUUGCCAACCAUAAUCUUCUGAUCGUUUAGGUGGCAUUAUGAUCUAUAAUUAUUGACAGACAAACAAAUAAAAUAAAAUCUAUUCCAGAAAAAUAAGAAAAAGAACGAUAUGAUGAAAAAUGUAUCAUAUCUACCAAGUACCAACUUUGAAAAUUCUUUUGUUUUUAUUUUUAUUUUUUGAUAAAUUUGAAAAAAUUAUAACAGAUAAAAUUAUAGAAAAUUUUAUUUUUUUUUUCUAAAAACUUUUCAAGAUCUGUAUAUUGAUUCAAUUAUAAAGAAUAUAAUGACUAGAACAAUCCAAAUAGGACCGCAAUUAUAUCCAUAAUUUUUUUCUUUUUUAUUCUUUUAAAAAAUGUAGUAUAAAAUACAAAGUUAGCGAAAUAGUUUUCUAAAAAUUAUAAUUUCUUAAAAUUAAUUUAAAUUUAUUUAUAUUAUUUUUUAAAAAUUAUUGCAGGUUAUAAUUUUCAAAAUACAAAGACAUCUUUUUUUUGCUAUUUCUUUUGAUCGUAUUACUGCCUUUCUUUUAUAAGAUAUAAAAACAUAAGUUUAAAAUUAUUUUUGUAAUUAUUUUUUAAUAUUUUUUUAUUAAAUUUUUUUGAAAAAUUGUUAGAUCAUCUAACGAAAUAGCAAUAAAUUAAAUGACAAAUAAAUUAAAUAAACUUAAAUAUCAAUUGAUUUCAUUUAGCUUUUAAGUUUAUCAAUAUUUUGUGUCUUCUAAUGCAAAAAAAGAAAUUAUGAUUGAUGUUGUUUACCCUGAUUCACCGAAUGCUUCAUGGUGCGAGAAAUUUUGAUAAAAUAAUUUGCGAAAAAAAAAGUGGAUGUCUGUGCUGGAUCGGAUAUGUCAAUUAAAAAUUAGCCCCUAUAUUUAUAAAUAAAAAAUUUAAAUUAUAAUUUUUUCAACUUACCUAACAAGCAUGUCUUUGCCUUCUUUUCAAUCAACUUCUUUUCAAGCGACGAAAAAAAGAGGACAUAAUUUUAGGAAGAUAUGUAAGAACUGAAAAGAAAAAAGAGAGAGAAGAUAGCUAAGCAUCGACAAAAGAAAGAAAGGGGAAGAAAGAAUAAGAAGGAAAGAAAGAUGGGGCGCGGGGGUCAGGAGGUGGAUUUGCAUGAAUUUAUAAUCUCACAAUUGCCUUUGGAUUACAGUUGUUUGGCCUUUGGGUAACCCAAAGGCCGGCCAAACAAAAAGACAAAAAAAAAAAUAAUUAGGUCGUGGGCAUGUGACAUGAUGCCCACAGCAAAAGCACUUGAAGAAGGGAUCCAAAGAGAGGGAUUCAAAGAGAAAAAAAAGCAAAAGCAAAAAAAAAAAGAAAAAAAAGAAGAAAUGAACGGCACGCGGCACUGUGCCGCGGCACAUGGCCGCGUGCCGCUUUGUCUCGAGUGGCACGGGCCAUGUGCCGCGGCACCCGGGAGGGUCCGAGACCCCAUCUGUACCAUACCGUACGGCACUCCUUGAUAUAUAGACAUAGAUAUGGUAAUUGGUCUGCCGAUUUCGAUAACACAUACCCAUUUGACCAAUAUUUCAACCCGAAGUAUGCCGAUUUCGGGUCCUCGAAACCUCCCUACACACAACACCAAAACAACUCCAUAAACCAACGUCACCCUAUGCAAUUCAUACUAUUCAGAUCAACCACUAUUCUCAACAACAAUUAUAAAUCAUCCAAAAUUACUAUUUUCCACCCUUUAAUCCUUCUAUUCUUACCUCGGUUGAGUAUCAACAUGUUGGAACACAAGAUGUAAUCACUCGCAAGCUCUCCUCAAUCCUUUGCCCAAACUCCGAGCUGUGUUCAAACUAGAAGUCACCAGGAGAAGCUUAAUCAACUUUAGGGCCCUUCUCCAACCAAGGAUCCUCAGCUUGAAACCAAGCAAAAAAUAGAAAGAAGAGAGGAGAAUAAAGGGAUUUCUUAGUUGGGAAAAAACCAUGGAGCAGCUAGGGGUGAACACCUUUUUAUAGGGACGCAACGAUUGUGUUUUAACCCCUCAAAUCCAACAAAUUAAUCUCCCUGAACGACUCAGUUCGAAACAUGAUUCGGGCGCCAGUAACCAUUUUUCGGGCGUUUGUAACCUUAUCAAUAUAGCUAGCUUGCUCCUUGUGGUGCCCGGGAACUAGGGAUGUCAAUGGGUAUGAAUACCUGAAAUUUUAUUCGAAUUCGAACCCAAAUGAAACGGAUAUAUCCGAUACUAAAUGAUAUGGAUUCGGAUAUGGAUAUCAAAAAUAGAAACCCGACGGAUAUGGAUUCGGAUAUGGAUUUUGACUGUACCCGACCCGAACCCGAACCCAACCUGAACCCAACCCGAACCCGAAUUUAUUUUGUAUAGGCUGGGGCUACUGUACUCUUAUGAGUAUAGAAUACCUUGUACUAAUAAAUUUUUAACCGUUGAUUGAUGGGAUGUGUGGUUAGGAUGAUGAUGGUCCCCACUUAGAAUGAUAGUGGUCCCCUAGGGUUGAGUGGGUAGUUGGUUGAAUAGUAUGAUCUAACAGGUGGAAAUGAUCAUAGAAUAAAUCUAAGGGCUGAAAACUUAUGAGUAUAAGAGAGCCAAUACUCAUAAAAGUAUAGUAGCCGGACUUUAUAUAUAUAUAUAUAUAUAUAUAUAGAGCUAGAAUACUAUCGAUAGCAAACGGGCUCCGUUGCCACCCAUUUGUUUUCGAUGAUGGAGCCUUUAAAUCGACGAUUGGCACCGUUGAACAUGAUCUAUACGACUUGAAGUGUUUAGAAAUCAAAUUUGAUACAUUUUCGAUAUUGUUCUCUUAUUCAUCGAGUGGACACAAAAAUGAACGGCUGAAAAUGAAUAUUCUUAAAAAAAUGAUGAUAGGAGUCUUGUAAUCAAGAUCAAGAGUAUAGAUCUUGUUUUAAAUAGUUUAAAGAAUUUUCUAACAAAAAUUCAAUUGAUUUUGAUAUCUUUACGCCGUUAAACGAGAAAACACCUUAUAUCGACCAUUAAAAUUACAAAUUUUGAAACCCUUUGAUCAUUAGGCAAAUAAUGUUGAAAAGAUUUGAAAUUUGAUUUCUAAACACUUUCAAGUGGUAUACAUCAUGUUCAACGGUGUUGAUCGUCGAUUUGGAGACUCCAUCAUAAAAAACAAAUGGGUGGCAACGGAGCCCGUUUGCUAUCGAUAGUAUUCUAGCUCAACUCUCUAUAUAUAUAUAUAUAUAAAUUUGAUGUUAUAUUUGAAUUUGUAUUUUAAAAAUUUAGAUUUAAUAUAAUAUAUUUUGAAAUAUUGAAAAAAGAAAUACUUGUUUCGGGUUCAAAUUUUUUGGUUCGGGUUUGGGUUCGGGUUUCGGAUUUUUGAUCGGGUUCGGGUUUGGAUAUGGAUUUUUAAAAUCCGUCGUGUUCGGGUUCGGGUUCGGGUUCGGGUCUUGGGUUUGGAGUCGGGUUCGGGUUCGGGUUUUUGAAAAU